rnacentral:lncRNA from 1 species
GGGCAUAUCCGUUCUCUAUUUAGAGAAAUUCUUAGAGCGGUGCAGUUUAUGCAUGGCGAAAGGGAGCAUUGGAAGGGUCUUAGCUCCAGAAUAUGAAGACGAAUGAAUAAGGAAGAUCAGAUUCAAGGAAUAAGAGGACAAAGGCUCGAUAGGAGGAAAUGAAUAAGGGGUCCAACGGAGCCUUCGGAGUACUAUAAAGAGGAAAGCCUAGACUGAUCGAUGUUCUUGGUAGGAACAUCCAUAAAUCAGGGGAGGGAGAUCGAGUUUCAAACCUUUAUACACAAAAUUGAAACUCAAAAUUCACUUCCUUCCUUCCGCAAGGCCGAUAUCUUUCAUAGCAAGCAAGGAUGAGUCCAUUAGGUUCUUCGAUUGAUUCGGAAAAGAAAUGAGAGACAAGAAAAGAUCUUUGAUGGAGAUGAAAAGGAAGAAUCUCAAAUAGACCAAGAUCCAAUUUCGGGUCAUUUCUUGGUGAACAUGAUCUGCCAUAAUCUCUUCGAUCCCUGAAUUUAUGUGCCAGAAUAAAGAGAGAUUUGGUAGGAAAGUGGAAGAGACCUUGUGGUAUAUAAUAAUGAGAGGGAGUGGGAAAGCUGCUGUAAUUCUUUGGAAAAGCCCGGUUCUUUUUGUCUUCGAGCUUGAAUUCCUCAAUCCACUCUUUCGUUCUUUCAUAUACCUCCCCACCAAUAGAUAGAGACAAAUAGGAAUAACCGAACCACGUCUACAAAAUGCCAGUACCAUGCAGCUGCUUCAAAGCCAAUGUGAUGCUCCUUGGUCAGAUGACCUAGAUAUUGGCGAAUACCACAUACGAUCAAGAAAAGAGUACCUAUAAUCACAUGAAAACCAUGAAAGCUAGUUGCUAAGAAAAAGGUAGAACCAUAAAUACUAUCAGAAAUAGUGAAGGGUGCUUGAUAAUAUUCCAUUCCUUGAAAGCCUGUGAAUACUAGAGCCAGUGAAACGGUAGCUACUAAAGCGUAAACAACUCGUUUUUCCUUCCCCGCGAGUAUAGCAUGAUGAGCCCAAGUUACGGCUGCUCCGAAUGAAAGGUGAAUAGGGGUGUUAAGAAAAGGGAUUUCCCGAGGAUCUAAAACCCCAAUCCCUUUUGGGGCCAAAUAUCUCUGAUCUCUACCGUAGGUGCCAAAGAAGAAUGAGAAGAAGCCCGAAAAAAAGCAAAAAGGAACAUAACCUCCGAUACGAUAAAGAGAAUAAAACCAUAUCGAAGUCCUAUUUUUACGACUUUGGUAUGAUGUUCCUUCCAACGUGGAUUCACGUAGAACAUCACGCCCACCAUACGAACAUGGUAUAUAGGAGAAAUAUGAGGCCCAAACUGAGAAGUCUUGCACCCCCUUGAAAUGAGUGCAUGUACAUCACACCUCCUACGAUGGUUGCCAAAUGAUAAGAAUGCCUUUGAGAUUCAAUCACAAACCACUUUGCCGGUUGUUAUGUAAACCCCAAUCCCUUUGGGGGCCAAAUAUCUCUGAUCUCUACCGUAGUGCCAAAGAAGAAUGAAAGAAGCCGAAAGAAGCAAAAAGGAACAUAACCUUCGAUACGAUAAAGAGAAUAAAACCAUAUCGAAGUCCUAUUUUACGACUUUGGUAUGAUGUCCUUCCAACGUGAUUCACGUAGAACAUCGCGCCCAUAACGAACAUGGUAUAUAGGAGAAAUAUGAGGCCCAAACUGAGAAGUCUUGCACACCCCUUGAAAUGAGUGCAUGUACAUCACACCUCCUACGAUGGUGCCAAAUGAUAAGAAUGCCUUUGAGAUUCAAUCACAACUUGCCCGGUUGUAUGUAAACCCCCCCCCCCCCCCCCCCCCCCCCCUCACUCCCACCCACUAAAGUGGUAAAGAAGGGCUCUUUGGGGUCUCAUUUUCUUUUUCUUUCUAUCUGACAGGACUAAAAAAUAGGAAGGAUGGUUCUUUAAUUGCAUUGAUAGAAGUCUAACUAGAAAAAGAUCUUGUUGCUUGAUAGAGCCCUGGCUUUUUGGAUAGAUCCCUCUAUAUUCCAACUGAUUUAUGCGUAGAGGCCGGGAAUAGGAAUCACUCAUAUUGCAUUGAGCCUUAACAGUCCGGAGGACUAUCCCGCUCCGUGGGAUUCUUUUAGCCUCACAAUAUUCUUUGCACCUAUCCAUCCACGCAAUAUUCUUUGCACCUUCGCUCCAAAUAAAGUAAUAGCCGCAACUCAAUUCAUUCAGCCUUCGCCUAGAAAUUCACUUUGCGACCCACUCCGUAAGCCCACUACACGAGAAGAAAGAAUAUCCUUAGCUAUUUAUCUUUAUUAUCUCUUCUCUGAGAAUAUCCUCUUAUUCUACUAUUAGAAGAAUAUCCUACUUUCAGUUUCUAGUCAAAGAAAGUCCAGGCGCAGGCGCAAAGAAUAUUGCGAGGUGCAGUCUAAUGGAUAGGACUGAGGCUCGACUGAAAGGAGAGAAGGCGCAAUGAAAUAUGCGAGGUCCAUAUUUCGACUGAGGAACUGAAACUUCCGCGUAGUGCUUCCCUUGUUCAUUGAUAGUAAUCCUGAAGUUUCUUCUUGGCAUCAAAAUAGAUCAAUGAAAGAGGACUAAAAAUAAGACGAAAGUACUUAUGACGGCUUUCCUUCCAACAAAUCUUCGUUCUUAGUUAUUUGAUUCCACUUUCAACUUUCUGGGAGUUGUCUUCUCCUAGGCUUUCUUCUUUCUGGCAGUCUUCUGCCUUGCCGUAGGGAGUAGGUUCAGGAGAACCAUAACCAUAAAUCAGAGAGACGGAGCAUCAAUCACGCAUAUUCUUUGCACCUCUUCCUUUAAGCUAUAUUUUUUAGGCUCCGGAGGCUCAAAGACAGGGAUAUUGUUGAAUACUAUUGGUUCGAGUCGCAGAGAGCAAAGAAUUUUCUCUUAAUGGAACUUAGCGCGAGUUAAUAUGGAUAGGACUGAGGUCUUAAGACUCCUAACUAUUAAUGGAAAGGACCCACGGAGCGGUGCAAAGAAUAUAUUAGAAGGGCAGACAGGUCCGGAGGACCUGUCUGUCCUUCGUCUUAAUACUCCUAACGUCGAAUAAGAAGCUGGAGGCUGGGUCCAGGUGCAAAGAAUAUUGUGUCCAUUAGAUCCAUUGAAUUAGGCGAAGGAUUUUAUCAAGCUUAGCUUUCUGGAUUCUUCGGCGGAGUGGGGCUUUCUCUAGUAGGUCUGGAGGCUCAAAGAAUGAUCGAAGGCUCCGGACCAUAAAGAAGAGAGUCGGAGGACUUCCAUUGACUUUUUCUUCCUUUCACUUCUAACUUCAAACCUUUCAUAUUCAACCUUGAAAAUAAAGGAGGGAGCGGACUAGAGGCCAUAAGUUUGAGUUCCUCAGAUGUAUAAAAACAAGUCCUCCGCGACGACCUAUCCACUGAAAGUAGCUACGUAGUCUUGUCUCCUUCCCCGCGUAGUGGGCAUUGACUUCUUCAUUGAUUUUCUUCUAUCUCCCACGUAGCGGUUGAAUAUGAAAGGAAGCCCACAGAGCUGAAGAUGGAGCGGGAUAAUAAAGAAGAAAGCUCAAAAGGAGGGAGCGGACCUCAAUGAACAAAGGACUCGUUUUCAUCCUUAUGGAAGAAAAAUCUCUUUUUUUUAUCUAAAAGACGUAGAAGGAGGCUCAAUGUCUAAUCUUUCUCUCAAAUCAAUAUCCCCCAGUGCAAAUAUUCCAGCAAUAUUCUCAAUAUGAAAAGAGCCUUUCUUCUUUUCUUAGAUAAAUGCGCUUCGUAGAUUAUGCUGAAGGAGGAGUGGGCCAUGAUCUUUGCUCCUUAAUUUCCCUAAUGGAUAGUCAUCUGGACCUUUCUUUUUAGUUCUUUGCGCUCGUCAACGCAUAUUUCAUUGCGCCUUCGCCUUCAAUGAAAUCCAUAAAUAAAUAAGGGUAGAUUUCAGACUCAAGAGGAGGGUUCCUUAUCAAUAUCAAUGAGACGGAUAGGCUUUCUUUUACAUUCCACAGGUCCGAAGGACUAUCCAUAUUAACAUGUCUGUCCUUCGCCUAACUAGUUCAUAUAGACCUUUGUUUUUCUUCCGCAGUCACUAAUAUGGAUAGUCCGGAGGACCUCCUUCAGCAUAAUCUAUGAAUGAUCGGAGCAAAGAAUAUUGCGGAAAAGAAGAAAGGAGUGCAAGCGAAAAAUAAUGGAUUGAAUAGUCCUUCGGACGACUACCGCACUUGGGGAUAUUGUUGAGAAAGAAUAUUGAAAAAGAAUGAUCGAAGAAUAUUGAAAAAGGACGGAGGAUAGGCUUUCUUUGAACAAUGUGGAUGUAUCAAAGAUUCCACAGGUUAAUAUGGUAGAUUUCAGACUAGUCCUUCACCUUGGAUCUGGGGACUAUUCUCUGUUCUAAUAGACAGAGGAGAGGUUCAAAGAAUAUUGAGAAUACUCGUGCAAGCGCAAUCAAUGAACAAGGUGAAAAGAACAAAAAAAAAAGGCGGUCGAUGAUCAGGAAGAAAAAGUCAAAAGUCUAUCCCAUCUUCUUCGUUAGGCGCAAAGAAGAAAAAUAAGGUGCAAAGAUCUAUGGCCCAAUUAUAAGGGGUCCAGAUGCACCAUAAGACUGGUCCGAAGGACUAUCCAUAUUAACCGGAGUCUUCAACAAGAUUUCCAACCCUGAAUAUUAAGCUACUGAGGCCCAAUAUUGCGAAGGAAGAACUGCGCCAUAAGACAGGUCCGAAGGACUAUCCAUUAGGGAAUGAGACGGAGGUAAGUUUGGUUUUUUGGAAAACUUGUUGGCGCGAUUAGUGCGUUUUUUUUGGAAAGUAACAAUUCUCUUCAUUUGUUUUCAGAAAACUUGUUGGUCCACGGAUUAGUGCGUUCUGCGCCGCCUGGUGUCUGCAAACAUAUUUUUCCAAAGUGUGUUUACCUUUGGUUAUAUGCUCCGAUUACCCCCAGUUUAUCUCAUCUUUAGUUUGCAUAACUAGUUUAGCUGUUUGCUUUUCAUUAUAGGUCAUAAAGCUUGGGUGUGACGUUUCAGCAUUUUCAUAUGCAAGCCUGCCAGAGAGGAAAAUGUUCAAAAUGUACUAUAGGGGAGGCAUACCAGUUGAAUCCCCGCCCAAGCAUUAGUUGUACUCUUUGCAAGCAACCCUUUUUCCUUGCAAUUGGCAGUCUUUAAUGCUUAUUGUAACGUCUAUUUCAAUGUAUUUCUUUCUUUCCCGUGUUUUAUAAAUAAAAUGUCCCUAAAACGCAAACGAAGGUUACGACAUACAUCGACGUUACCCACAACUCUUGGAUAUUGAUCGACUGACUUGUUCAUCGAGUUAGAACAAGUGCCGCACAAUCGUCCGUCUCGAGGUUGAAACGCUACGAUUGUGACAAGUGGUAUCAGAGCCAAAGUUGGUUGAGUGACAGUUUUGACAAAAAUAAAAUGUCGACUGCAAAACGAGCGAGCAAGACCCAUGAAGAACGGUUGGUGGAGAUCGAAGUGCAGAUGCUCCACCUGAUGGAAGUUCCUGAUUCCAUCCGGUUCUUGGAAUAGCGGCUUGAGGAUAUUGCCAAGAAAGCUGAUGGCAUUGAAGCCGUGUCCGGUCACCUUGACGGACUACCCAUCCAAGAGUUACUGACUAGAGUCGACACUCUAGAGUCCCGAGUUAUGAGAACGGGAAAUGUCACCUACGAGCGUGGGGACAGUUCAUCGGGCUCUGUUGCCCAGAUGGAAGAAAGAGUUAUGGAGCUUGAUAACUCGCAAAAGAACAUGUUGGAGAUGAUGAGCGGCAUGACAAAGGAUUUUCGAGCAACGCUGGAGGAGCCAUUCUUGUGGGCAGAAUCAAGAUUCCUAAGCCCAAGCCCUUCUGUGGGGCGAGAGAUGCCAAGGCGUUGGAAAACUUUAUCUUUGAUGUCGAGCAGUAUUUCAAAGCCUCGAACACAAUUACUGAAGAGGCCAAGGUGACGUUGGCAACCAUGCAUUUGUCAGAAGAUGCGAAGUUAUGGUGGAGGUCCCGAUACAUGGACAUUCAAGAAGGGCAUUGCACAAUCGACACGUGGGAUGCCCUAAAAGGAGAACUCUGUUCGCAAUUUUCCCUGAGAAUGUCGAAAUUCUGGCCCGACAGAAGCUGCAUGAAUUGAAGCACACGGGGAACAUUCAGGACUACGUGAAACAGAUUGUGGGGGUAAUGUUGGAUACACGCGACAUGAUCGAAAAAGAUAAAAUAUUCAGCUUUGUUGAAGGGUUGAAGCCAUGGGCAAGGACUAAGCUAUACGAGCAGAAAGUCCAAGACCUCGUGUCAGCCUAUGCAACAGCUGAACGUUUGUUUGAUCUGUCUAAUGACGUUCAAGAGACAAGACAUCAUUGAAGCUCUUCACCUGGAAGAGACAGAAACAGCCGACUGAAUUCUCCCGAAGCUGUCAGUAGAAAUAAAAGUCCUGGUAGAGACCGCAAGCCCUUCCAGUCAAAUACGGGGAACACCAGGCAAAGGCCCACUAGUCAAAGGACCUCCCACACUCCUAUCAGUUGCUACAUUUGUAACAGGCCACAUCGGACAAGGGAAUGUCCGGAUAAAGCGGCCUUCUACGCCUUCCAGGCCUCUCUGGCUACAGACUUAGGUGACAAGUUGGGUCAACCAGAGAAUGAAGGUGGGUAGGUGGAGGAAGUCCAAAACGUUAGAGUAGGGGCCAUAAGACUUUGUCGUUCCUUCAGAAGAAAGCGGGGGAGACAAGUGGUCGUACAAAAGGGGGCCUAAUAUAUGUGGACACCUGGAUCAACCGAAGGCAUGCAAAGAGCACUAUGGUUGACUCCAGUGCAACCCAUAAUUUUAUAACGGUGGCGGAAGCCAGACGAUUGAACCUUCACUAGAAGAAGGAUACAGAAAAGAUGAAGGCCGUAAAUUCUACAGCUUUACCCGUCGUCGGAGUAGUGAAACGAGCGGUGAUACAGUUGGAAAGAUGGAACGGCCUUGUUGACUUUGUGGUUGUGGGCAUGGAUGACUUUGAUGUAGUUCUCGGAAUGGAAUUCCUUCUCGAACAUCAAGUGAUCAUGAUGCCUGCACCAAAUGUCGGUGAUCACGGGAUCUACCCCCACCGUUAUGCAGAUACCCCCACCAUUAUGCAGAUAGAACUCCGGCAACCCAAAGGAUUGAGAAUGGUCUCGACCAUGCAACUGAGGGCCAUAUUAGGAAGACACAAGGCGUGUCGUGGAGAGACGUUGUGAUGGGAAACAGGAUAGUUUGCCCAUGUCAGAAUCGCCUACGAGAAAUGAUCAUCGUAUGGCGCAAUCAAAAUCAUCUGGACUCAGGAGACAGUCAAUGAGACUGUCAGGUGCAGGAUCCACUAGACCUGCGAGAGAUCCGUAUCAAGCACAAGACUUCUUACGGAAGGAAGAGAAUGGACAAUUGUGUGUCAACAACCGUGUCCUAAAGCAAGCCCCGAGGAGAGGGCCAACUUUUGAGUCCGUGAGUGGGACUCAGCCUGUUGAAGCUUACGCUAAGGCAUAUGGUCCUGUGUCAGGUGGCAUCCUAAUGCAGAAUGGACACCCUAUCACAGCUGAGAGUCAGAAACAAAGUGCCGCAGAAGGUAGUUAUACGAUGUUUGGAAAAGGAAUGCUGACCACGAUACGUAGUCUGAAGGAUGGAAGACAACAUUCCCAGGGGUCUACACAUGGAAGAGAGACGAACAACAUUGCGACCAACCGCUUUGAUACUCGGCCGAAGUGGGCUUUGAGUCAAGAAAAGUGGCAGAGGGACGUGUCAAGGAAUCCUUGCAGAAAAACUCUGUCAUUGAAGUUGAUGUAAGUCUGGCGGAGACCAGUCAGGUGGAAGAAAAGAAUGGAGUUCAAUUGUGGAAGCUAACCCAAUCUUAUGUUAAUGCUGCAAUGAGUUCGUCAAUGGAUGGAAACCAGUUUGUGGGUAUUUGUGGCGGACAUUCUGUACAGUCCCUUGUUGGUCCCUCCUAUGUUGGUAAGAAUCCUCAAGCUUGCAACAGUACCAAGAGGUGGAAGCUGGAGUCAGACAUCGUUCGGACCGAUCGAGAGGAAGCCUCGAAGUGGCCAGAAAAGUGGGCAGAUAAGAAGCAUCGCCUCCGUGUUGGGGGAGACCAGGUCAUCGUCAAACGGCGAUCUGAACUGACUCAGUUUUUGAAGAAGACUUCAAGAUCACCGCCUCGUGAGAGAACGCGAGGGACAAACAGAAGUUCAAGAAGUCCUUGCUAAAGAAGCAAGGAAAAGAAGAAGACCCAUGGGGGGAUACACAAGUUCGUGGUGAAGCAGAGGAGCCUCCUCAUGGAAGAAGCCUGUGGAAGACGUACCAAGACUGUGAAGCGUGGAGGUAGAAGAUCGAAGGAUUCCAGCUUUGCCAGUCGACGGGGACGUCAACUGUUUAAGUGGGGGAGUGUGUCACGGACAUAUUUUUCCAAAGUGUGUUUACCUUUGGUUAUAUGCUCCGAUUACCCCUAGUUUAUCUCAUCUUUAGUUUGCAUAACUAGUUUAGCUGUUUGCUUUUCAUUCUAGGUCAUAAAGCCUUGGUGUGCGUUUCGACAUUUUCAUAUGCAAGCCUGCCAUAGAGGAAAAUGUUCAAAAUGUACUAUAGGGGGGCAUACCAGUUGAAUCCCCGCCCAAGCAUUAGUUAUACUCUUUGCAAGCAACCCUUUUUCCUUGCAAUUGACAGUCUUUAAUGUUUUAUCGUUAUUUCAAUGUAUUUCUUUCUUUCCCGCGUUUUAUAAACAAAAUUUCCCUAAAACGCAAACGAAGGUUACGACAUACAUCGACGUUACCCACAACUCUUGGAUAUUGAUCGGCUUACUUGUUCAUCGAGUUAGAACAAGUGUCGCACAAUCGUCCGUCUCGAGGUUGAAACGCUACGAUUGUGACACCCGGCAGCCACAUAGAAUUGAGAAAAGCCUAUGGUUGAGGCAGCAUUAAUUUAUGAAACUUUACACGUGGGAAGAGAUGACUCUUUCUAUUCAAACCUGUAAACAUAGAAGACCGCCUCAAUGAACAAGGGAUCAUUCACAUAGAAUAAAUAUGAACAACGAGAAAGGGAAUAUAAGGUUUGAAUUCAGAGGAAAGCCUAGCUUGAAUGAACAAGGUGAAAAGAAUAUUGACAGCUGCACUUACGAGUCUUUCAGUUACCUUUCUGCCUCUUUAAAGAGUUCAAGGUUUUCUAUUAUCGGAAGAAUCAGAAUAAGAAGAAAAUAGAGAGAGAAGAGAGCUCAGGAGGCGCAAUGAAAUAUGCGUGAGAAGCGCAUUUCCUUAGUGGAAUACUUUGAUAGCGGAAUAAGAAGUCGGAGGCUCGGUCAAGACGAUCUUUUGAUCUAUUCUAAUGGUUCUAAUGGAUAGUCCUUCGUUUUAGAGUCCUACAGAUAAAUCCUCCGGACUGGUCCGAAGGCUAGGUUCAUACGGAUAGUCAGGACGGUUAGUUGGAGCCUUGUUUUUCGAAAUCUUCUUUGAGCCUCAGUCGUCUCAUUGAUAAGGACAUCUUUGCAAAUGAAGAGCGGGAGGUGCAAAGUGCGGCUAUUACUUUGAAAAGAAUAGGAGCUCCGCGGUUUGAAUUGAAUAAAAAGGAUAGGCUGAAAUUCAAAGUGAAUAAGAGGAUAUUUUCAGACAUAAUAUCUAAAGUCAAUGAACAGGGCUCCUAACCUGAUUUAUGGGGAGCCUACUACGUCCAUUAGUUCCGAACUUGGCUCCACUCCUAGUAGUUCGAACUUGGCUUUGCUCCUUCGCUUUUUCUCUUAUUGAUCUCUCUUGUAAUGCUUUCUACUAAGAAUCAAGAAAGCGCAACUUCUAUUGUUCGAACGACCUUGAUUAAAAAACGAUGCUUCCUUGGUCGUGUAGAACAUGGAUUAGCAUUAUUUCAUUCCUACAAGCGAUCCCCCAUCCAGGAUUGGAAGAAGUGCUAUAUGAGGACUUUGAGAUCAAAUAGAAUAUAUUUCUUUCAAGACCUCGUGAGCCACUUAUUUCUCCGAAACAAGAGAGAAAAGUGAUUUUCCUCCUUUUUCUCAAUAAGUCGACGACCUUACACCAUUGGGAUACUUCUUUGAAACUAGAGUACAUAUAGGAUACACCGGUGCUAAAACCUUUUCUCAAAAGAUCUUCCAAACUGUUGGGGUCCUUGCUCCGUAUGUUCUUCCCCCGGUGUGAAAGCAGUUGGUUCCAUAGUUUGAGAAUUCUACUGAUCCCAAGUACUCCAUCUCCAUCAUUGCAUAGGGAAUAUAGAAAGUCAAGAAGAAAAGGCAUGAGCAGAAGAAUUGUGUGAAAUAAGUCAAUUUAUCCAAUUGAGGCAUUCUUUCUUUUUCUUAAGAAAAUUCCCUCUAGACAUAAAUCCUUUCUGUACGAGUAGUGAAGAACUAUAGAGAGCAGUGGUUGGUUGUUGACCAACGAAAAGCAUGGGAGAAAGAAAGAUGUUGGCAAGGAAGCAUCAAAAUAGAUCAAUGAAAGAGGCUCAAAGAAUGAUCGAGGACUAUUUUAGUCCGACUAGAAACUAGGGAAACUAAAGACUAACGAAAUCUAGAUGAGAAUCCGUACAAUUAGUCUCGAGAAAAAGAAGAAAGCAAUAAAAAAAGUGAAGACAGAAAAUGAACCGAAAAUCUUCUUCUCUCAUAUUGAAUUCAUCCUUCUACGCAUCUCCAUGGGCUCGACUGAGAGUGGAGGAGAGGACGGGAAGAAUGAGAAAAAUAGUAAGGCGAGAAGACAGGUUCGAAGGACUAUCCAUCAGGGAGUUUGGACCCCGUAGUUAGGAGCAAAGAAUAUUGCGAAAGAGUCAUAAUAGGUACAAAUCUUCUUAGAUUAUGUUGAAGGAGGCGGCGCAAUUCAAUAAGCGAAAGUCAUGAUCCCUUUAAAGCAGACGUUAGGCGCAAAGAAAGAAGCUCAUUAACGAGAAUGAAAGAAUAAUUCACUCAUUAACGAGAAUGAAAGAAUAAUUCACUCAUUAACGAUAAUGAAAGAAUAAUUCUGAUUUCAUCACCUUGUUUUUACGGAGUUCAAUACUAGAUUGAAGACGGAGGGAAAUCCCAGAUUUUGCUAGGUUUUGGGCCUAUAAAGUAGCAAGAAAUCAUGAAAAAUCAGUCAAAAUUAGACAAUUAUCGUAGCAUAUCAAUAUGAGAAAAAGUAUGAAAAAGAAGCAAAAAAGUCGGAAAAUAGCAAUUCAAGAAGAAAGCCUAGGACAGGGAAAAGAAAUGAACACUUCUAGUUUGAGUUUAUGGUCCGGAUACUGACAGGUCUAUUCAUUAUUCCGCUCCUGAAUAUGGAUAAUCCUACUUCGGUUAAUUACGGAUAGUCCUCCUUCGGUUAAUUACAGAUGGUCCUACGGAUAAAUCCUCCAGACUACUUCAAUUAAUUACGGAUGGUCCUACUUCCAUAUGGAUAGUCGUACUUCAAAUGGAUAGUCCUCCGGAUAAAUCCUGCGGACGUAGGACCUUGGACCUUUCUUUCUUUAAUGGAUAGUCCUCCGGAUAAAUCCUGCAGACUGCGUAGGACCCUGGACCUUUCUUUGGCACUCCGGACGGAUAAAGAAAGGAUAAAUAAAGGCGCAAAGAAUAUUGCGAAGUGAAGCGCAUUUAUCUAAGAAAAGAAGAAAGGAUAAAUAAAGGCGCAAAGAAUAUUGCAAGAGCGGGAAUUACCUUUUCUCUUCGGGUUAGCUAAGAGUUGUCGGAGGCUUGAAGUCGAAUAAUUACUUUUACUUAAAGGUUUCACAAACCUGCAAAAUCUUCUCCAAAUUAGCGUUAGCGUUCUGAGCUAGCCAAGCAGUAUAUUUAAAAUAUAGAAAGAAAAAAAUCCAUGCAAUCCAAGUACACUAAGAACCUACAGCAUCGUCACGCUGCGUGCGGAAGGUUAAUUCUUCUAACUCUGGUAUUAUCGUUGAACAAGCAGUUCACAUUCGACUGCCCACGUAGUGGGGGAAGCUCGCUCGCUAACUUUGCACUUCGGCCAAAAUGCCGAAAAAAGGCUAAGGCCGAAGGAGGUCUGCUCCUUCGCUCAAGGAAAAAUUGCCCGAUUGAAUAUAUAUCUUGGAGCAGAGAGAGGAAAGGAUGACGGAAGCCUCAGUCUCAGUACGAAAGGGGCAAAAAGCUGGAAAAGGCAUACUGGCUUCACCUUGCCCUAGGAUGGGGUCCGUCGGAUCUUUUAAGGCAUAAGCUUAAUGCUGAGACGCACGGGGAUAUCCGGUCAAGGAUGGAUAUUCAAGACAAGGACGAAGGCUCUCCUUCACGCAAGAUGAUUACAAGUCUUAGGAGUGAACUUCCGCUUUACCCUUGUGGUAUCAUGAAGCGAAGGGCAGAGAAAGCGAGCGAGAAAACAUAAAUCAAGGCGGUCGUUGACUUAAAAUAGGCAAAAAGAAAAGACAGAGAGCCUACAGGUUUCUCGAUUUACCCUUCUUCUAGGAUAGAAAAAGGCACUGCCUGUGUGACCACUACAAGCAGACGUGACGAGCGAUGCAGGGCCACCCACGACCGCUAGCAAUACGAGGUAAAGCGGCCAGAAAGCAUACCAUAGGAUGCGUCCUGAGGGUAUUCACAUAAACAUUCUUCGAAUUGUUCACAUUCGGCGGGAUGUUCUUAGCCUUGUCUCCAAGUGAAUAAUUGAAUCGGCACCGACACGAUCGGACCUAUUGCAGCCUUCGGUUGACUGGUGGCAUUCGAUGGUAUGCUUUGAGGCCUUCCCAACCUGCUCCGUGUAAAAAGGUAGAAGGAGGCUCAAAGAAUUAUCGAAGAGCGAGACGAAAGAAAAUAGCGACUUCCAGUCGGUGAUGGGAUAUCUCAAUGUUAUCGCAGAUUCAAAGGCGCAAAGAAUAUUGCAUUGAGGCUCGACUGAAAGGAGAGGCGAAUUUGAGAAGAAAGAACUAUAUCGGAUAAAUACUCAACUGCCUCAGACGUCACUGGGACAAGAGCCGGAGAUUCUGAAACCUCUCGCAGCUUCUUUGCUUCCUUUGGUCUCGAUAUUUGAACCGCCUCAAUAAACAAUAAAUAAGGGUCCAAAAAAUCAAGGUCAUCUGAAACCCUUUUUUUUAUGCGCCUCAGUCCUAUCCAUUAGAACGCCGGCCCUCACCCUUUUUCUUCUUAGUGAGAGCUUGAGCUUUAGUCUUCCGAGUUCUCAAAUUCUUUGACCCUCUGUCUCAGUAUUCGGCAGAGAUGCUGAUGUUAACAAUAAAUGCAGGCUGAAUGUUGUAUGGAAGGAUGAUCAUUUCGGCUUCUUGUAGCCAUUGAUGUUGUCUAAUGCUUGGAGAGACAUUGUUUAAUGUGACUUUGGACAAGGUUACUGAAGAUAGAACUAUCUGGCUUUAGGUCAGUUUUCAGUUGCUAAGACAGUGAAGCUCUUUCAUCUUCCUGGUAAUACUGUCCCUUGGUUCAAGCUUCUUUGGGGUAAGAAGCACAUCCCUAGUCAUGCUUUUCUUUCGUGGAUGGCUAUGAAUAAGAGUCUGAGAGUCAAAGCUAAACUGUACAAUCUUUAAGUGCUUUCGUCUUAUUUUGAGGUUUGGAAGCAAAGAAGCAGAGCGGAGUUUGAUUCCUUAUAUCAGAAAAAGAUAUAGGAAGACUCCCAGAAAGAAGAAAGCCUAGGAGCAAGCAAAGAAAGAGUAAGGAUCAGAAAGCUCCUAACCCCUAUUUAUUUAUGGAUGUGAAUUGAGCGAAGGCGCAAAGAAUAUUGCGAAGGUUAAAGAAUAUUGACUUGAUAAACCUCUAUUUAGCUUCUUAUAUCUGAAGACGAUAAAGUCAGAUAAUCAGCCUCCGGCUGGGUCGGAUCGUCCAUACCUAGUUGAGUAUCUCUGUCCGUCAUAACGAAUUCACUCUUUGAAAAAGGGUCGGGCUUUGUUGGAGUUGACUCGGUGAGUACACUUUCAUCUUUACGAGAAGAAGCGCGAACAACAACUAUAUUAUUCAGCGACAGACCUGAUUUACCCGAUGAGUGGAAUGACUCGACAAAAGUCUUAGGACUCGGGACAGACGCGCCUCCUUCCUGCUAGAACUCAUAGGUCUACGGGGUUCUUUCGGUAGCGAGAAUAGUGGUCCCAAACGGAAUAGAAGUACUUUUGAUUCACUGAAUCAUAAUCUUUGAAAGAAGAAAGGGGGACGGAGGAUCAAUGAAAUUUGAUGAUGAUGAGUAAGCUCUUGCUUUUCUUGCUCCUCUUUCUGAAGUUGCGAGAGGUUCAAAAUAUCCUUAUCAAUGAUUGGAGUGGUUGUUCCGGUUGCAACGUUGCUGUUGGAGUAGAAGUUGUAGCCCUUUCGGUGAGGUGCAAAUGCUCGACCUCGACCCAUUGGCAUUAGUUGAGGAUGCACUAUCCCUGAUUAUUUUUUAGGAGAAAGCCUCUUUCGUCGGGUUUAGGGGAAAAGACUAAGAAUGAGGUCCCCUCCCCCCAGUUGAGGAACGAGGGCAAAAGCGAAGCCUAUGAAGUGAGUAUGAGCUCGUUCGACCCCCAUGUAGCAGGAAUAGCACCAUCUUCUCUCUUUCAUGAGUAGUUCACUGCACUCAUUAGUAGCUGGACCAAGAGGUUAUUCACUCUAUGAUCUCCUGGACUGGAAUAGGCGCUCUCCCAUAGCAAGAGGGAGCUCGACGUAGUCGGUCUUUCGACAGUCACAGUAAUUGAGAGAAGCAGCUGCCCGGGAGAGGGAGGUAUCGGAUUAGGCACGAAGAGAGGAUUAGUCGAAUCGACUGUAAGAAGAGGCAUCCGUUCUUGUGGCAGUAGCAGUUGCAGAAGUUGAAUCGUCAGUGGCUGUUCUUGUUUAAGAAAUAGCUGCAGCUAUUCCCACCAAGGCCUGACGAUAGGCUGAUUUCAGGAUUUCCUAUCCAUCCUCAAAUUCUUUGAGCCUUUGUUACAAGAAAAUACUCUUUAGUGACUCAAGAAUACCCUGUCUUAUGGCACCUCUCAUCUGGAGCCUUUGUUUUUAAACAAGUCAAAUUCUCUAAUGGAUAGCCUGAAUUCAUGAAUAUUGAAUUGAACCUACUAAAAUCAAAGGAAUAAAGAAAGAGCUCAAAAGGAGUCAAAAUGAGAAGUCCGAAACCUCAUCACCUACUCCCGGAGGCAAGGUGAAAUUCAAUAUGACGAAGUCUUAUAGUUGGGUCUCAUCCCCCCAUAAUCAAGUAGCAUCCACUAAAAAGAGCGGAGCGCGGAAGGACGAGGCGCAAUUGAAAUAUGCCUGAAUGAAUCUACCCUUUUUAGAUUCGACUACUCCGCUACGUGGGCUUACUAGUAAUGCUGAAGUUUCCUCCUUUUCUAGCUUUCUUUCUAAUGCCCUUCUUUAUGGUCAAGUGUAUGGUCACUUCCCCGAGGCGCGGAUCCCACUACACGGGAAUAUAUUAUGAUAUAAUGAACUAUCUUCUUUCUAAUAGCUGGUUUCAACAGCCACCGGGGAGGAGACAAGAACUCAAUCUACUGAAACAAGGUUUCAACCACAGCGAGAGCAUACCUCAAAAAAAUAAGGAAGAAAAAGAUAAAGGCGCGAAGCAAAGCCUAUGAAGUCAUAAGGGCAAGGGCUUUCCGUGAACUUUCUUAUGAUGGGAAAUCCUUGUUUCAUUUGCGAGACACAUUUCAUUCGUAGAAAUACCACUUCCUACUUCCUCAUCCCGACAAUAAAGAAAGCACUACGCGGGACAAAGUAGAUUCCCAAACUAAAAGGAAAGACUAAAAUCAAAGCUCCAGAUGAGUUGAAUUGAGGUGCAAUGAAAUAUGCCUUUCAGCAGUGUGCGAAUUCGCUCUUUCGGCUGAUAACCUUUCGAUCCAGAAAGCACUACGCGGAAGUUCCCCACUACGCGGCGCGAAGCGACUGCCCACUUUUUGAAAAGAAAUAAAGAGCGCAGAACAAGGUUCAGUUAAGCUUGAUAAAUCAGUCCUUCGCCUAAGAAUAAGGUUCAAAGAAUAUUGAACUCAUGAAAUCAAUAUCCCUGUCUUAUGGGGCCUUCGUAGCUUAAUAAUGGGGAUCUGGUUCAAUUAUAAGGCUCAAAGAAGAUUGAGAAAGAAUAUUGCAAAAUCAAGGCGGCAAAGAAAAGGUGAAUAUGGAUUCGUACGAUUAGACUUGACUGAGAAUGGAAUUGCUUUAGCUAUCUUUUUUUUCCGUCUUUCAAGGUGGAAGCUAAAUCAGAAUAGUUUCUAGUUGAAGGCAAGCAAGCUAGGGUUGGUUCGUAUUGACAAAGAGCUGGACUUCUAAACUUUCAAUGGGUACUGGAGUACUACUUUGUCAAUCGAUGCUUAAUACUAUCUUUACGCAAAUAAAGGCCGAAGAAUGAGGCUAAGUCUUCUAUUUAGUGGUCUCGCUUUGCACCUUGCUGAUCUCAUUUCAAAAAUGCUUCGCCUGCCUCUUCUUGGAUUCCGUGCACGAGUAAGUACCCGUAAAUCGUAAAGAAAGAGGGGGGGUAGUUACCUGCUCUUUCAUCGAGAUUGGCGAAUUACGGUAGAAGAUAGAAGAGGUUCGAGGAUCAAAGUAUUUGAGCUUUGCUAUUACUUUCAUGCUCCUCUUAGAAGGAAGAUAAGCACGAUAAGCUGGCCUAUAUCAUUGCUUAAUUCAUGCUUUCUUCGUACUUCCGGAAAGAAAUCUCACUCAUUUCAUUCUAUCACAUAAUGAGAACUCUAGAAAAGAAAUUGCUUACUUCAUGCUUUCUUCGUAUUUAUUUCCAAUCCAUCUUUUGUCUAUGACGAUCGGUACGAAAGGAAGGCAUGCUCGCAGGGGAUUCUUAUUACUAAUAGAUGAUAAGAUAAUACGAGAAUGAAAGAGGUCGAGCGCCUCACCUCUGAGUCUGAUUGUUGGAGUAGUCUGAUGACUCCCACUGGUCGUCUUUCAACUCAUUAAAUCCCCUAUCUUUUAUGGCGGUCUUACCGGAAUAUCUACUUUAUAGAAUUCCUAUGAGACUAAGAAACAAACUGAGACCUCGUAGUCUUCCUGUUCCCGGUCGAUCCUAUGAUCGAUCUCAUACAAAGAUCUCAUCUCAUCGACUAAAAAGACUCUUUCUUCUUAGUUUGAGCUUGAGGCGCGUCCAACCCACUACGCGGUAAGCUUUUCCUCUUUUCCUCUCACUUCAAGACUCAAGACCUUACCCGCACCGAGUCAAUCCGAUCGCUACCUUUCCGGGUCGUAUUCUAGUAAUUAAUUUCAUUAAUAACUCAGAGCGGCGAUCUAAAUACUUCUUCAGCAAGAACUUCGAAGAAGGUAGAGGAACUGAAAUGGAUUCACUUCCGCAGGCAGCAUCCCUUUCAACGACGACUCCCCGAGAGACCCGCUUCAAACUUCCGAUUUAGAAAGAAGGUAUCUCAGUCUCUUACCGCGUAGUGGGCUGAUCGUGAGAGAUGGAAUCUUCAACCUCUUAUGGAAAUGUGUCCAGCGGAAGUAUUUACGUAAGAAAUUGAGAACCAGGCGAGAGGAGAGGGGUGAGGAUCGAGCGCAUUCCCUAUCGAUCAGCAUCCUCAACUCUACUUCAGAGCUAGAAAGGUUUCGGAAUUCAGAGGCAAGAGCAUUCCUUCCUCUUCUUUAGUCAAGUCAUUUCAUUCCAUUUCUCACUAGGUCUAUAGAAAUAGUUCAUGGCCACUAGGUCUCGUCAUAUUUUUUCUCAAGAGAUGAGAAGAAAGUUCCUAAUAGAAUAUGUUUGAAUAUCUCAACUAGAAAGUCUCGGAUUAACUCUUCCCAUAGCGUAGCCGCGGCGGAAAAGGAAGAUUUUCAACAGUCAAGAGAUCAAUCAGAAGGGAGCGGAAGAAUGGAUAUUGUCUUCGAUCUUGCGAUAAAAUGAGUGAGACCAUAUGCGAUCUGUCUCAAACAGAGAAUUAGUAAUCUGAGUCGCAGGGAAUAGGUUGAAUAGUCCGGAGGACGGGGAGAAGAAAAGAGAGGUUCCGAGGUUCAAAGAAUAUUGGACAAAGAAUAUUUCAUGAAUUGAGGUGCGGUAGUCCGUCCGAAGGACUAUGAAAUCCAUUAGUUUUCGUUUGCACUCCUUUCUUCUUUUCUUAGAUAUUCUGGGAUUGAACUCCGUCUGAAAUCUAGCAGAUUCAUUUUUAGCUUCUUUCAUUCUCGUUAAUGAGCACUUGAACUGUCUUUCUCAGGCGCAAAAAAUAUUGCCGAGAAGAGCAAAGAAGGAAUGGCGAUCAGAAUUGAGUCCUUUCAUACUUUCGUUGAGGAGGAGGAGUUUUUUCUUGUAUCAUAUUAGGAUAUUUUAGUAGAAUAAGAAGAAGAAGAAGAUAAGUACGUAGCGGGCUUUUCUUAUGGCGGAGCGGAGGAGUCCGACUAUCCACUGAAGAAAGUAGGAAAGCCUAAGGAACCUAAAAAGGGCUAAUAGGGGAAGGAAGAAAGCCUAUCCCUCCAGAAUCUUUGAGGACCGAAGGACUUCUUUAUAUCCCUAUUUAUUUAUUUAUGGGACUCCCAGAAAGGUUUAGUUCCAUAAAUCAGUCGGCUAAUAUAUAGGAUGAAAGUAGAUAGAGAGGAAAAGAAAAAAGUCGUCACUCUUAAGGAGUGCAAGAAGGAAUCUUUGAACCUUUUAUCCUGAUCUCUCUCAUUCUACAACUCAGUCGAGCCACUAUUCAACCUUCUUUUCGAGGGGACAUCAUGUCCUCUUAUCUUAAUCCCAUAAAUCAUUUAAGGCGAUACUGAAAGAAGAAAUCCAGCAACUUAAUCCGGUAGAGUCAAUUCGAGACUAAGACGAGUUGGGGUUUCGACCAUAGGCUUUCCUUCCAAACCUACUAUACUAAACCUACCCCCGGACUCAAGGCGCGAAGUGAAGCGGCUGCCCACUUUUUAGAAAUAAAGAGCUGAGAUAAUUCUUUUCACUCAUUGAGGUCGGCUAAAUUCAAUGGAUAAAGAAGUCCUUUGCUUCAUUCUAUAUGUCCUUAUCAAUGAGACCAUUAAUCAGUCCGAAGGACUAUCCAAAGAAAAGAAUAUCCCUGUCUUAUGGGGCCUCCGUAGCUUAAUAUGGAGCGCUCCGGACGAGUCUUAACUAAUAUUCCCAAUCAAAGAAUUAUCGAAAGAAUGAUCGACGAGUCUUAUUCCACUAAAAUAGUAGUCCUUCGGAGCAGUCUUAAUACUCCUAAAAUCAAAGCUCCAGAUGAGUUUCAUUCCACUAAAAGACGAAAGAAGGUAUCUCAGUUACCAAAGAGAAAGAGCUUCCACAAACCACUUCCACAUAAACUUCUGCUAAGUCUACUUCUGUUAUUGAUUCAACUUAGCCUUUAAUCAGAUUAGGACCUAGCUAGCCAACCUUAUUCCUUCCUCUUCCUUACUUUGUUCUCGCUUGCUUCGGCAACACAUCUUUGGAUACUGGAUAAGCUGCAAGAGAAAGACUUCUUCCGAUCGAUCAGCUACCCGAUUCCUCCUUCCCCGAUGAUAAGGUUAGCAGGCCCGAUCCUCUCCUAUUGAAAAAGAAAGCAGAAAUCUUUCAGUCCAGAGUAUUUAUCCGUAGCCCGGAGGAUUUAUCCGUAGGACCAUCUGUAAUUAACCGAAGUAGUCUGCAGUCUGAAGUCCGCAGGAUUUAUCCGGAGGACUAUCCAUUAGAAGUAGGACCAUCCAUAUGGAAGGAAGUAGUCCAGAAUCCGCAGUCCGCAGGAUUUAUCCGUAGGACUAUCCAUUUUCAGUCGGACUAUCCAUAUGGAAGGGAGCGAAAUCUAGCUAUGAGGACUCUUUGAGCUCUUCUUUGAGUCAGUGGCUGCCCUUCCAGAAGGAGCAGCGAAGUCCGCGGUUUCAGAGGUUUAUGUAGCAGUUCUUCUUUAAUAAGAUGCUUACUUUCUUUCGGGUAGAAAGGUUCACUCGUGAACGCACUACUACAGAAAUUGGUUUACUUGACGUUAAUACAAUGUCAAGUAAAUGUAUACUUGACGUUUUUAAAAGCGUCAAGUAUUCGACUGUCAAGUAUAGUUACAUUACUUGACACUAAAAAACUGUCAAGUAUACGUUUACUUAACACUGUAUUAACAUCAAGUAAUCGACUGUCAAGUAUAGUCACAUUACUUGACACUAAAAUAUUGUCAAGUAUACAUUUACUUGAGACUGUAUUAACGUCAAGUAUUAUAUCAUACUUGAUGUUUAUUACGUGUCAAGUAAGAUCAUACACAUGACGCCUUUUACAUGUCAAGUAAAGUCGUAUACUUGUCAAUUUUUGCACUUCAAGUAAGAUUGUAUACUUGACACUAUGUAUCCGUCAACUAAGAUGAUAUACUUGACACUAUUUAUCCGUUAAGUAAAAUAGUAUAUUUGAUUCUAAGAUAGUAUACUUGACAUGUAUCUAACGUCAUGUAUACCAUUUAUUAAUAUAUUAAAUAUAUAAAAAAUUUCAUUUCCUGUUUUCUGUAUUACGUACAUUCAUUUCAAUAAAACAUAUUCAUCGACAAAAUAAACUCUCCAACUAGUAGUUACACAAAAAAUAAUUUAGUAUAAGUAAACCAACAAUAAUUUUAUUACUCUCAACAACAUCGUCAACAAUUACACAAUUCCAAUCCAAUAUAGUCAACUAAAAUUUCCUAUAUGUGGCCUAUUCCAAAAUCAACAAAAUAAUUAUCUUAUAUAACCAAAAACAUGUGUGGUAUACCAAAACUAAAAUCUAUCCCUUUACAUCUAUUGCAUGUACAUAAGCAUAAUAGCUAUGAACGAAACAUUUACAAAAAAAAAAAAAAAAAGUUAUGGGCAUUCCCAUAUAUUAGUCAUUCACAAAAUUAAUAAGAUCACAUCUAAGGAUGUCUAUCAUAUGUACAAAGCUAAAAAUUUAGCCCACUCCGCUCAUACUUCAUCCAAUUCAAGCUGUGAGUAGAAACUCUUGUAUCAGUCUAUAAAACAUAAAAAAUCAAGUAGACAUUUGUUAAAAAUAAAAAUUAAUCAGAUAAGUAACUUAUUUCCAUCAUAAAAAAAUAAUCCCCUUGUAAAAAAUUCUACAUUGUAAGGAGGAUAUUGUAAACCUAAACAUGAAUAUUUAAACCUAUAUGAAACUAAGUACAAACAUAAAUUAGAAAACCUACACUAAAUAAAUAUUGUUAAUGCUCAAAAACAGUUAAAAAUUAACUUAAAGAAUACCGUAUAACUUAAGCAAGUUUCCCAGAUCAUAAUACACAAGAGUACCUAUUCAACUGAGUUAAGUGCUUCAACACCUCCCCGCAUCUGCAAAGAAAAACAUUACAAGAGUAAAGGGAGAGACAAAAAAACGAACUUCCUUUGAUCUUCUUACAACAUUCACAUUUAUCAAGCUCCACUAAAUCACUAAUAAACCAAGAGGACACUAUUGCUUACCUAUUUAUUGCAGAGAAUCUGGGUUCAAGACAAAAAGAACAAAAUAAUUAUACACCAAAUAUUUUGAAGAUUAUUGAAUAGAAAUGUGUAUAUUGUUCACGUGAAAAUUUCACCUACCAUUCUGCAAAUCAAAACAAAUUCUUUGAAUGAAACCAAAUCAUCGAUGAACUCUCACCACCCUGAAUAAAAAACCAACGAAAUCAAUCAAAGAAAACAAAUACAUUGAACUCAAAAAACAAAAAAGAAAAACUCUCAUCCUCUAACAUUCAGUAGUGAACGAAAAAGGGAAGAAAAUCAGAGGGGGGCGGCUUUUCGGUGAGAAGAAAAUCAGAAGGGGGCGUGUCCAGUGAGGAGAAGGGAGAUCGAGAAGAACUCCAGUGGUGAAGAAAUUCGGUGGGGGCCAUUCCACGUGAAGAAAAUCAAAGGGGAAGGGGGCUUUUCGGUGAGAAGAAAAUCGGAAGGGAAGGGGGACACGUUCGGUGAGAAGAGGGGGGCGAGAAAAGAAAUUUGGUGGAGGGUCGUCUGACGUGAAGAAAAUAAGAGGGGGCUUUUUAGUGUGAAAAAAAUCGGAAGGUUGCGUGUGAUAAGGGAAGAGAGGCAGCAUGUGAGAGAAAAUAGGAAAAAGGAGGGAAAAUGAAAAGAGGGAAAGGGUUGGGGAAAAAAAUUUGGGAAAUAAGUUAGGUUUUUUUAGAAAUAGAGAAAAAUGGAAAAUUUAGAGAAAAAAAGAGAAAAAAGUUUUAGAACUUUAGGAUGAAAAAAAUAAUUGGAAAAAAAAGGGAAAAGUUUUUUUUUUUUUUUAGAAAAUAGAGAAAAUAUAUAUUACUUUUGAUAUUUUAAUAAGUUUAUUGUAAUAAUUUUAUUUUAAUUAAUUAUUUAAUGAAAGGAGGGAAAUAAAAAGUAUUUUAUAUUUUUAUACUUGAUAAAAUAAAAAUGUUAACUAUACUUGACGUUAUUUCUGCAUCAAGUAAACAUUAACUAUGUUUGACGUGAAAAAAAUGUCAAGUAAAAGUUGAACUAUACUUGACACUAAAACACCGUCAAGUAAAUUCGACACUAUACUUGACAUGGAAAAAAUAUGAAGUAAAAGCUAAUGUAAGAUAAUUAAAAAAUUUCAUGAAAAUUUUGCUUUCUUUAAACUAUACUUGAUGUUUUGUUCGUGUCAAGUAAAAGUUCAUUAUACUUAGCGCAAAUAAAACGUUAAGUAAAAUCUCCCUUAUACUUAACGAGAAAAAAACGUCAAAUAAAAGCUAACUUAAAAUAGUUUGAAAAAUUUCGUAAAACUCCACUUUUUAAAAACUAUACUUGACGUUUUUUCUUUAAAAUGGUCAAUACUUGACAUUUUUUUAAUAAAAACGUCAAGUAUGUAAAAGUACCUAGUGUCAAGUAAAGUAGAUUUUGUAGCAGUGACGGUACACCUCUUAUAUGAUGCCUGGGGACUUUGUCCCUUCUUCUACGGAUUUCUCUUAUAUGAUCUUAUUCAUCUCCGUAUCGUUCAUAUAUUCAUUCUAUAAAAUCCCUAGCUGCCACAGAUGGUCGAACUUGCCUCUUAAGUGGCGUGGGUCGAUCCUCUUGUUGACUUUUACCUAGGAGUGGGGGGAAGAAGUUCGAGAAUAAUUUCUCUUCUUUCCCUGUCCCAGUUCUUCUUUCCACUUCUACUUAAGUCACCACGACUGAUACAGAUGCAAGAACAUCAGGGCGAGCAGGGAAGAGGCGGAGGGAGUUUGCACUUUUUCAUGCGGGUUUGAGUGAGACUGAUGCGCCCUAGGUCAAGCCAUUGCUUCGUCUUGUUCAUCACAUUCAUUAUGUUCACAAUUCCGGAAUCAAAGUAGAAAUACGAGAAAGCGCUCCAGCGGACUCUAAUUCAUUGGGAAUUCUAUCUUCCCGCCUCAAUGAACAAGGUGAAAAGAAUAUUAAAUGAAUCAUUGAGUUAAGGCGGUGGAACCUAGGAGUGGGACCGGGAACAUGAUAGGCUUCAAUCUAAGAAGUGAAUAUAGUAUUGAAAGAGGCCCACGGAGCGAUGUCCGACUAUCCUACUAUCGAAGCCUUGAAGCAUGAGUCUUGAGGUUUUCAAAGUCUACUCAGAGGACGAGGUUGAAGUUUCAUAGGGAAAGGUUUCAUAACAAGCAGUUGUUUUCCGUAUCGAAUGCUCUUUCAUUCCUUAUUCGAAAGAAGGCAAAGAAAGUGGAAACUAAAUCCUUGGAUUCUUUCCCGCUUGAACCAUGAAAGGUUAGGCCUUAGUUACGAUCUCAUUCAAUGCCCUAGCAUACUCAAAGGUUCGGGGCGUAGUGGAUGGAGCUAGAAGACUACUACUUGGACGAGGGAUUUCCUUUCUCUUAUUGUAAUACUCCUAACCACCCCUUUUUGAAUGGGCAGGCCCCUCUGGUCGAGUUUACCCUUUUUAUUCAGGCCUAUCUGCCUCCGUUCAUGAAGGACAAAAUCGGAUUGAGCCCUUGUUCAUUGAGGCGUAUAAGCCCACGUAGCGGUGCCAUAAGACAGGUCUGAAGGCGUCACAGGUCCGGAGGACCCGUCUGUCCGAAGGACGAGAUAUUUAUAAUGUUGAGAGAAAGAUUAGACUUUGUCAGGACCCUUAUUUCCGUUAUUUUUCACUUUCAAUAUUCUUAAGAAUAUUCAUUCAUCCGACAGAGCAAAGUUCAUCCAGAUCCCCAUAUGAAUUAGGCGAAGGACUGAUUUUCAAAGUCAGAGCUAUCCCUCAAAUUCUUUGAGCCUCUGCACUCAAAUUCUCUAAUGGAUAGUCCUUCAGACCGCUAGGAGUAAAGAAUAUUGUGUGGAACUGAACUAAUAUGGAAAAAGCAUUUCCUAUUGAUUUCUCCCCUGGACUGGACCUAUUCUGAUUCUGAAUUAUCCGUCGCUACGUUGUUCCCAUGGACUAGCAAAAUCGAAAUAGCGAAAUUCUUGGGUCAUCUCAAUGGGUUCAGAAACCACACGUUUCUCUGGAUCAUCAUAGCGUACUUCCACAUAUCCACUCAGAGGAAGGUCUUUUGUAAUGGAUGACCCUCGAAACCAUAAUAUGUUGAUAUACGGCGUAGAUCCGGAUGAUUGAUGGAAGAAACACCAAACAUAUCCCAAACUUCUCGCUCCCACGGCCGGCUGAUGGAAAUAGACUGACUACCGGAGAGAUUCGUGUUACUUCGUCUGCACUGGUUUGUACACGAAUGCGUGAGUUAUACCGAGUACUCAGUAAAUUAUAGACCACUUCAAAUCUGAGUUUUCUAUAUAUAUUUAUAUUGAUGUUAAUAUGUUACCUUGUAAUUGGAAUGGUGAUUUGAAUAAUCUAAUAGGAUUAUGUGUUUGGAUCAAAAUAUGUUGCAAGAGAAAUAGCUAAAUGUGUGGAUUUAGUGACAAAGAGGGUAUUCAUGUGUUUAUUUUAGUUUUCUCAGUGAGGACUCGAUUUUUAGAAGAAACGACCACUGUUCGAAUCAUUCAAAACUUUGUUCCGAACAAAAAUUUUGGACUUUGUCAUUGUCCUCUUCGUCGAAUGUGACAAACUUGAAGACAACGAUGAAACAUUGAAAGAUUACUUGGAUCGAAAAUGUCCUGUGGGGUUGAAAGAUACCAUAGCCGCUAGCAAGAACUGUUGCUUGGUUUUCAAUAACAAAACCGAUAAUGAAACAAAGAAGAUUGAAUAAGUGGAUAAACUUAUAAAGAUGGUGCAUGAAGUUGUACAACAAAAUGAAGGAAAAGCAUACACUCAUGGCUUGUUUUCUAAUGUCAAGUUUGAGACCAAGUUGCAAGAUGAUGUGAAAACCAAGCUUGAACACACAAUUACAGUUCAAAACACAAGCAAAAUUUAAAGCAUAACAAGGAGCACAAGAACUUCAACAACAAUCUAUUGAUCAAAUUCGAGUCCUCAAAGACCAUCUAUGCAUCAAGACUUGAAAGGUCACUGUCACUACCAAUGCUUCCACAAAUUAUUCGUCAUGGUCGCUGCAUGAGAAAAGGUUGCAUUAUUGUAUGACUUUACUGUGCAUGCAUUCAAUAAAUAUGUACAAGUAAUUAGUAUAAUGAAUAUAUACUAAAUAAAAAUAUGAAAAAACUGUGAAAAAAAACUUAUUUGAUUAACUGCUAUAAAAAUUAAUAUUUGAAAAUUGGCAUGUGUUCUCGAAACUAAUAAAAGCAAGUUUGGAAAUGCCUUUAUUUUGUCUUUGUUGAGUGUAGUGUAAAUUGGCAAAUAUAGAAUGCUUAAUUAUGUUGUUAAUUAAUAGAAAAUUAUUUUAGAAGUUUUGAUGAAUGUCCAACUACAUGUGGAAAGAAUUAUAAAGGAUUGAAAAAUGAUUCUAUAAUCUAGCCCAAACAAGAGGUGGGUUAUUAUAGCUCACUUCACUUCUAUUUAGUUUGGGACCCAAAUAGCCUCUUAAAAUUAGGUUAACUCCAUAACUAAUAAGGGUCUUUAACUCAUAUAGUCUAAAUGCUAUAUGAUAUUACAUGAAUGAUCCAAAUUACUAAUAAAUUUCAUAAAAGUCCUAAAUGGACUAGUAUAUUACAUAAAUGUAGGCUCAAAUUACUUUAAUACCAAUUUAUAUUAUUUAAUUGAUUUAUAACAAAUAUCUAAAUGAAAAAAACCGUGGGAUAUAGUUUUGGAAAGAAGUGGGGUCCAAAUUAAUUUAAUAUCAACUUCUAUUAUUUAAUUUAAUUGAUUUAUAACAAAUAUCUAAAUGGAAAAAAUGGUGGAACACCGUUUUGGAAAUAAGUGGGGUCCAAAAUAAUUUAAUACAAAUUUUUAUUAUUUAAUUGAUUUAUAACAAAUAUCUAAAUGGAAAAAAUAAAGAGAUACAGUUUUGGAAAGAAGUGAAAAACUUUUCAUGCUUUCCUACCACGAAAAUGGUUGUCUACUCCUUUCAACGUGGAUUACGAUUUUUACUUCAAAAUUUUAGAGAGUUCGGAGGUGAAGAAGAAGACAGUCGACGACCGACAAAUACAAAACUUCUCGAACAUAAUCUAGUUAAAAACUUUGAAGUUAGUAUUGUAUAUAUUCAACACAUAUGAAACAUUAGAUAUAUUAUGUAUAUUUUAGAUAUUCAAUUAAAUAGUCAAUCAAAUGAAAAUGUAGUUUUGAAUGUGAUACAUUUUAGGGUUUAUUGAGAUUUCGGCGGUGAAGAAGAAAACUUUUGAUGGCCAAAAAAUACAAAACUUAUCCGACAGAAUCUAGCUAGAAAAUUUGUGCUUAAUAUUAUAUAUAUUCAAAACAAAUGAUUAGAAACAUUUAGUAUAUUAGGUAUAUUUUAAAUAUUCGAUUAAAUAGACAAACAAAUGAAAAUAUAUGAAACAUUUGGUAUAUUAGGUAUAUUUUAAAUAUUUGAUUAAAUAGACAAACAAAUGAAAAAUUAGUUUUGAAUGUGAUACAUUCUAGAGUUUAUUAAGAAUUCAACGUUGAAAAAGAACGGUCAUCCUAUCAAAAAAAUAAUAGAACUAUAUAUAUAAUAUGAGGUAUAUAUAUAUAAACAUAGAACAUAACUAUUAUAGAUUACGGAUAUAUUAAAGUAUAAUGUAAUCAAAUACAUUUAUAAAGGAAAAAUAUGUAUGUAUGAUCAUGUCGUUUACUACCGUUUUAGUAAUAUUUAUUCUACAAACACAAAUUAUGUAGGAAUUAUGUAUAAGGUAUUAUUGUAUAUAAUAUGAGGUAUAUAUAUACUAAAUAACAUAUAUGAAUUAAAGUGUAUAUUUUAUUAGUGAAAGGUUCUUAUAUCAAUUUGUUUAUGAUUUUUAUUUAAAUAUUCAUAUAUUAUGUAGUAAAUAAUACGUUAUGUUUGAAAUAAUAUUGAUUAUGUAUUAAAGUUGCCCAUUAGACAGUUUUUUAAUAAAAUAUACCUAUUAUAUUAAUAUAGAAAAUGGGAGGAAAUCGUGCAACAUUAAAAUAGGAAACUUCUUUACCAUUUUCUCACUUUCCAUAUUCAACGAAAAGCUUGCCAUUUCGACAGUCAAUGACAUAUACAACAUAUUAUAUAAUGCGAUAAUAUUAUAAAACUAGUAUAAUCAUAAAUAAGAUGUGAUAUAUAUUUAAGGGAAAUAUUAAAAAACUGAUAAAUUCAUAAUAGAAUAACGUUAAAAUAAGGAGAAUAUUGUUAAUAUAUAAUAUAUAUACGCAUAUGAUAUACUCAUAAUGAACUAAUUUUAAAUGGGUAAAAUAACAAAUGACAUAUUUAUGUUAUUCUUCAUAUAAAACAUCAACUAAAAGUAUUAUAUCUCACGGUUAAUAUAUAAAACUAUUAUAAAUGUAAACAAGAUGUGAUAUAUAUAUAUAUAUAAUAAAUCACAUAUACAACCUAUUAUAUCAUCCGAUAAUAUUCUAAAAUUAGUAUAAUCAUAAAUAGUAUGUGAUAUAUGUUUAAAGGGAAUAUUAAAAAACUGGUAAAAUCAAAAUAGAAUAACAUUAAAAUAAGAGGAAUAUUGUUAAUAUAUACUAUAUAUACGCAUAUGAUAUACUCAGAAUGAACUAAUUUUAAAUGGGCAAAAUAACAAAUGACUGUGGAUUUUAUCUUAUCUUCAGGUGAUGGACAAUUGUAUAUGACGGCGAUUUGUUAAGAUUCUGCAGCUUACGGUUAUGAUAAAUUUGAAUACAAAUUUAUAAAACAAUGUAAUAAGAAGUUCAAAUGAUGGAGAAGAAUAGCAAAAAAAAGCUGUCGGCGAUGGAGAAGAUAAUGUAAUGGCUGCCAGAGAGAGUGAACAAUUAGGUUAAGUUAUAUUUUUAGAAAGAAUAAUUAAAUAGUUUAUUACAAAAUAAAGUAAAAUUACAAUUAUUAUAAUAUAUUCUGAUUUAUAAUUAAUUUAAAAGAUACUUGAAAUUAUUAACAUAUUAAGGUCUUUUGUUUAAAAGUUUCAACUAAUAAUAAUGAUAGUUCUCAUUAACCAAUUGACAAAUGAUUGAUAUUGUCAAAUAAUCGAUAUUGUCAAAUGAUCGAUAUGUGCAAGUGCACAUUUCAAUUAUAAUAUAGUAAAACGUUCUUAGAGAUCGAGCUAGUAUCCUUUUAAGAGGGAUCAAAUUAACAAAUUAAUUUAUUGAUUUUAGGAUUAGAUGUGUUUUAAGGAUAAAAACAAUGAUUAGAAACUAAUAAAAGAUCCCUAAAAGACAAAUAUGAAAUCUCAAAGAAUAAAAAAUGCUCCAAAAUUGUAUUUGAUUUCACUGUUCAAUCCAUAAAAUCAUGAUGUGUAUAGGUUAUAUGAAAACUAGUGUCAGUAUGUGUUCAGCUCAAGUUGUUGACUUUUGAAAAAAAUAUCUUUCCAUUCAAACAUAUACAUAGUUUGGUUGGUAGUUUUUCUUCAAAAUUAUUAUUUUGAGAAAACAAAUACAAUUUCUUUUUUAGGUAAUCCAAUAUCCUCGAGUAUAUUUAAAUAUGGAAAUAUUAUUUCCAUAUUAGAAGAGAUACUAAAAGAUCUUAUUAUAACAUCAUUAGAGUCCCAUCAUUUUCUCUAAAUAUCUCUUUUGUGGUGAAAGAUUUGGAAUUGCACAUCAAUCAUUUUGGAAUGGGUAAUUGAUCACCCUAUUUUUCAAAAAAUAAGAAAGAUAAAAAAUAGUUAUUUUUUUUAAAGAUAUAUUUGAAAGUGUUGAGUUUAUGGAAGGUAUUAGUACUUAUACAACCACAAACAUUUGAUUUUUGUUAUCUAAAUUAUUUUAAUAAAAAUGUUUUUUUUUUUUUGAAGUUUAUGCUUAUUAAAAAUGCUUAUUUAAAAAAUGUUAAUGAAAUUUUAAAAAAUAAAAUCUAAUUAAACACUUCUGAGAUAGAGAGGUUUCCCUUGACUACCCGAGCGUAGAUAAACACUUCUGAGAUUUGGUUGGUAAUCCCAAGUUCGUGUGCAGUUGAUUAUUUUUUAAAUUUUGUAUAGUUGAAUAAUAUUUGAAUUUUAAAUUUUCAUCUAUGUGAUAUUUACUCAUUUCAAACUUUUUGAAUAUGCAUGUUUAUUUAUUAUUCUGCCGUCUCUCUAUUGUAUUUUAAAAUUUAGAAUAUGUGUAUUUAUAUUAUUUGAAAUUGAAAAUUUAACUUUUGCUCUUACAGUAGGCUUUAACUCUUUGUUUGUCCGUGUUGUAGGUGAGAGAGAAGGAAAAGUUCCAUUGUUUGAUUGAAUUGGAAUUGUUUCGUGCAUGGGGUGUCAUACAUAAUUCCACUUAUUACUAGUUGAAGGUCUUCUUUGCCUCUGUCUUCUUCCCCAUCUCCCCAAGUUGUUCUAACCUUUUUAUAUCUACCUAUUACAUGUCAAAAGGUUGUUUCGCUCUUCAAUGUUUUGAAACAAGUUCAUUAUGAAAAUCUCUCACAAGCAAACGUCAUGUGCAUUAUGAAUAAUUUCAUCUCAAAAAAAUUGUUUGAGAGGUUUCAAAAGUGUAUCGAAACUAAUAAUUUUAAUGAAUAAAAAAAUAAUUCUUCGUUAGAUUCUUACAUUUUAUUUCAACGAAUAAAAUUUAGGAAAAUUUUUAAAAAUAGCAAAUUUUACAAAAAUAUUUACAAUUUAUAACAAAUUUAUAGUCAUUGAUAUGCUAUAACGAUAGUUACUAGUAAAUAUUUUAAUUUAUUUUGUUAUUUUUAAAAAUGCUCAUAAAAUAUUAUAGUGAGGGAACAAUGAUGAAUCACAUAGUUUUCUUGUGGUGAUGUCGCUUUUUAUCCCUCUUUACAUUCUAAAAUCUCAAAUACAAAUCAUAAAACAAGUAGAUAUACAUUCAAUUAACAUGAUUUUGAUUCUAAUAAAUUAGAAAGACAAAAAUAACUAACUAAUUAUGGAAAAGUAAUAUUUUAACAUGAAUUAUUGAUUUUUAAUUAGAGGUAAUUUUAAAAUAAAUAAAAUAAAAGAAAAUAUUACAAAUCAAAUCUAAACUAACUUUGAUUUUACUUCUUUAAUUGCAAUAUAACAUAGAUACAUUGGCUAUGAAGUGCAAUUUCUUAUAUUAUAAUAUUUAAAAGAUUUAAAUUUAAAAAUAAAAAUAAGUAAUCUCAAGUCCAAUAUUGGACCUGUGGGGCUUAGCCCAUCAAUUUAAAAAUUCAAAAUGCACACUCAACGGUCACAUUUUCCUAGGAUCAUCCUAUUUAAUGCCCUUCUACUUGUCAACUCCAUCGAAAUCCUUCAUUUCUUGUGGCACCGUCUAAAAUUUGCUUCGAUUGAAGAAAUUUUGACGCCCAUGACAGCGUUGAAAUUUCUUCAAUGCAAACAAAUUUUUUAUCUUCCUUUCAUCGAGGAUUUUCAUACCAUGUGAAGGAGAGAUCAGUUCCAUCAGUUCCAAGUCGUUCGUGAGUCAUCUUCUUUCCUGUGUAGUUUCAUCUCUUGAUUUUGGAUUGCUUGUUCAAGAUUUAUUUUCGAAUUUUGGAUUGUUUGCUAUUCGGAUAGGCAGAAGGUUUGCACGAUGAUAGAUCUGGAGUACCUGAAUCGUUUAUUGAUUCUGUAGUUUAAUCUUAUGAUUUUGGUGAUUUCGAAGCGUACAAUAUAAUCGUACUGUGUUAUGAAGUAAAUAAGAUUUUGUAGGGUUUUUGAAAGUUAAUUUAGAUAUUUCCUGCAUUUUAGUCUUGAUAGAUCUGGGUACCUGAACCGUUCAGGUUUGCAUGCUGUGAUUGUGUUGUUCUUUUUUGAUUUUGGAGAGAGUCCUUGGGUAAUUUUGAGGAUUGUUCUUUUUUUAGUUUUUUUUUGCAUGCAUUCAAACACACGCAUGGUUUUUAAACUGGGGUUCUUGAAUAUUUGUUGGUUUUCUCGAAUAUUUGCCGGUUUUUUUUUCUCAGAAGAAUUGAUCUUAUAUUUGUGUAUCUCUCUGUGCAACUUUAAUAUAAAGUUAUUAAGGAAGAAGAGAAAGGAGGAAGAAGGGAGAGAGAAAAGGUAGAAACGACCUAAUAGUAGGCAUGAGUAUUAAGAUGCAGCAGAGCCACCACUUAGUGGCGCUAAGGUUUAAUGAGCAAAUUGACAGUAGAAAAGGGUCCACAUCCAUACCUAAGUUACUAUUGCUCUGGGUUCUGUUGGUGGCAUUCAUUAGUAUGUUAAACUACAAAGAAAUGGAUGGGUGGUGUUAACAAAGUUAGAAGAAAGUAAGUUCUGGGAAGUAUGUGUGACCAGACGACAAAGAUGCUUCUGCCUCAACUUAGUGUCAGUGUCAAACUAUGUCCAGGCUUUGGCCAUUCUCAUUUCAUUUCCAGUACUUCAAAAUCGUAUCAGCAAUUGAUCAGGAAAAUGUGUUUCGAUUUCUGUCUUUUAUUAGUCUCGGUUAGUUAGGCUUAAGAGUAAGGGAUAUAAUUCAUUUUUCUUGUUUCAGCUAGAAAUUACGUCGAUGUCUUGAUUUUUAGUUUUUUUAGGGCUGUUUGGUUGUUUUUUUAGGGGUGUUUGGUUAGUUAGGCCUAAGAAGUAAGGGCUAGUGAAAGAGAAGCAUUUGAUUGUCCUACAAGUAUCUGAAUCGCCAAUGAAAGCAGAGGUUAUUUCCUCUGAAUUUCCACGAAUUGUUCAGGUUUGGAUUCUGUGAUUGUGUUGUUCUGUUGUUCUCUUUUUUAUUUUGGAGUGUUCUAGGAAAUUUUGAGGUUUGUUAUUUUUUAGUUUUUUUGGCUUGCCUUUAAUCACGCUCGUUUGGGAAUAGACAGGCUUCAGAGAAUGAAUCUCCUUUUUAAGGGUUCGUUGGGAGCGAAGUGACCAUAUGGCAUCCCUUUCUGCACCUGCUCAGUCUCUCUCUUGCCUUUUUCAUACUACAUAUUUUUGUUUCUCAAUUUAGUGUCAGUGUCAACCAUGUCUAUGCUUUGGCCAUUCUCAUUUCCACUUUCCACUACUCUAAAAAUGUAUCUGCAAUUGAUCAGGUAAAAGUGUUUCAAUUCUCUGUCUUUGGUUCAUCUCCGUUAGUUAGUCUUAAGAGUAAGGGAGAUAAUUCGUUUUUCUUGUUUCCCUCCAUGUAUUGAUUUUUAGUUUUUUAGGGAUGCUUGGUUGGUUUGAAUGCACGAAACAUUUGCUGGUACACGAUUCAAACAGCUUGCCCAGUCAUGUUUUUCUAUUUUUUUUUAAUAUUUUGGAAUUUUGCAUGUGUGAUUUCUGUAUAUAUUAUUCUUGCCCUUUUCCUUUAUCAUCAUUUAUUUUGAUUUUGGAGAGGUCUCUUGGUUAUUUGUUAUUUGCACAUAUACAAGGGUUGAAAAUUUCAAUCCCACCUCUCUUUUAUAUUACAUUCAUUUAGUUUUGGCUGUUAUCUAAUUGAACUAUUUGAUCAUCAAAUAAUUGUGUUACCUUUUCUUCUAGAUGUUUAGAUUCAUUUUUCUCACUAUUUUAGUUUUCUUAAUGUGUGACAGUCUUUGUUUUUUAUUGAACUAUUGUGUGGCAGUCUUUAUUUAUUGGUUAUCUUUAGUUUCACUAUUGUUCUUUUUUUAAUGUUUUCUUAGUUUUUAAUAAGUGUGACAAAAUAUGAAUUAAUUUUUUUCUUUGAACAAAUGUGGAAUUUAUUUUCUUUUAAUGUAGUUGUGUCCCCAAUAAAUUUAUUUUGGCGAUUUAACAAUCCAUCAUGUUCUUUUUCAUUUUUCUGUUGUAUUUUCUUCGGUUCUUUGUUGUGGUAUGUCUAUUUUUGAGACAUUCUUAAUUUAGUUUUAUUUCUUUUAGCUUCCUGCAUCAUUUUGUAUUAUGGAUUGUUAUGAAAUUUUGAGAUUAUGCUUUAUUUUGUUUUUUGGUCCUUUGCUGUGAUGUCUUUUGAUUAUUUCUUUUGAGUGAACAGUUCAUGUAAGAUUUUCUGCAUGAGAAUAAAUUGAUUAUUUAAUUUGGUCAAAGAAGUUCAAAAUUUACAUGUGAAAUUUACACUCAGUGGCUGUAAGGUUUAAUGAGAAAAUUGGAAGUAGAAAAGAGUCCACAUUAAUUCAUUCAGCCAAGAGGGCUUGGCAUCCUAAGUUUGCUCUGGGUUCUGUUGGUGGCAUUCAUCAAUAUGUUAAUCUAUUAGGGAAUGUAUGGUUAUAACAAAGUAAGAAGAAUGGAAGUUCUGGGGGAGUAUUUGUGACAAGAGGGCAAGGAUGCUUCUGCAUCAAUUUAGUGUUAGUCAAUCAUGUCUAUGCUUUGGCCCUUCUCAUUCCACUUUCCACUACUACAAAAAUGUAUCUGCAAUUGAUCAUGUAAAAGUGUUUCAAUUUUCUGUCUUAGGUUCAUCUCAGUUAGUUAGUCUUAAGAGUAAGGGAGAUAAUUCAUUUUUCUUGUUUCAGCUAGAUGUUACCCUCCAUGUCCUGAUUUUUAAUUUGGCUUCCUAAGUGUGCUCUAGGUUCUGUUGGUGCAUUCAUCAGUAUGUUAAUCUACAGGUGAAUCUAUAGUUAUAACAUAGUAAGAAGAAUGGAAGUUCUUGGGGAGUUUGUGUGACAAGAGGGCAAGGAUGCUUCUGCAUUAAUUUAGUAUCAGUGUCAACCAUGUUUAUGCUUUGGCCAUUCUCAUUUCCACUUUCCACUACUCCAAAAAUGUAUUAUCUGCAAUUGAUCAGGUGAAAGUGUUUCAAUUUUCUGUCUUUGGUUCAUCUCAGUUAGUUAGUCUUAAGAGUAAGGGAGAUAAUUCGUUUUUCUUGUUUCAGCUAGAUAUUACUCUCCAUGUCUUGAUUUUUAGUUUUUUAGGGGUGCUUGGUUGGUUUGAAUGCAGGAAACUUUUGCUGGUACACGAUUCAAACAGCUUUCCAUGUCAGGUUUUUCUAUUAUUUUUCUUUAAUAUUUUGGAACAUGUGUAAUUUCUGUAUAUAUUAUUCUUGCCGUUUUCCUUUUUCAUCAUUUAUUUUGAUUUUGGAGAGGGUCUCUUGGUAACUUGACUUUUCUUUUAGUUUUGACUGUUAUCUAAUUGAACUAUUUGAUUAUCAAAUAAUUGUGUUACUUUUUGUUCUAGAUGUUUAUAUUCAUUUUUCCCACUCUUUUAGUUUUGUUAAUGUGUGACAGUCUUUGUUUUUCAUUGAACUAUUGUGUGGCAGUCUUUAUUUAUUGGUUAUCUUUAGUUUCACUAUUGUUCUUUCUUUAAUGUUUUUCUUAGUUUUUAAUAAGUGUGACAAAAUAUGAAUUUAUCUUUUUCUUUGAACAAAUGUGGAAUUUAUUUUUCUUUUAAUGUAGUUGUGUCCCCAAUAAAUUUAUUUUGGCGAUUUAACAAUCCAUAAUGUUGUUUUUCAUUUUUCUGCUGUAUUUUCUUUGGUUCGUUGUUGUGCGAUGUCUAUUUUUGAGACAUUUUUAAUUUAGUUUUAUUUCUUUUAGCUUCCUGCAUCAUAUUGUAUUAUGGAUUUUUUCGAAAAUUUGAGUUUGAUCUUGUUUUCUGGUCCACUGCUGUGCAGUUUUUUUUUAUGAGAUAUUUUUAUUUAGAUUUAUUAUCUUUUAGCUUGUUUUGCAUUUUGCAUUAUAGAUUAUUUUUUAAAAUUUUGAGGUUGUUUUUUUUCUUUGAUCUUUUGUUGCGGUGACAAUUUUAAUUUAGAUUUAUUAUCUUUUAGCUUGCUUGCAUUAUGGAUUGUUAUGAAAUUUUGAGAUGAUGCUUUAUUUUGUUUUUUGGUCCUUUGCUGUGAUGUCUCUCUAUAAGACAUUUUUAAUUUAGGUUUAAUAACUUUUAGCUAGCUUGCAUUGUGGAUUGUUAUGAAAUUUUGAGUUUCUGCUUUCUUUUGAGUUUUGGUGAUGCCUUUUUACGAGACAUUUUUAAUUUAGGUUAAUUUUUUAGGUUGCUUGCAUUUAUGGAUUGUUCUGAAAUUUUGACUUUCUGCUUUUGUUUUUUAUGUCAUUUGUUGUGUGAUAUUCUCUUUAUAAGAUAGAGAUAUUUUUAAUUUAGGUUUACUAUUUUUUAGCCUGCUUGCAUUUGGUAUCAUAUAUGAAUUGUUCUGAAUUUUGAGUUUCUUCUUUUUCAGUCAUUUGUUUGCGAUAACUUUUUAUAAGACAGACAUUAAGAUUUAUUAUUUUUGGACUUGUUUGUAUUUUGUAUCACGGAUUGUGGUUUUUUAAAUUCAGAGGAGGAACUAGAAAUUGUUCUUGUGAUAUGUUAAAAUCUAGUUUACUGCAAAGAAUGAAUUCUAAAACAGAGGGUAUGAAUUCGUCAAUAAUUUUUCUCCAUUUCUGCGUUGAGCAAUGUUUAGCUGAUAUGUUUGUGUAUUCUUUACAUUAGUGCAGCACCACAUGCUAAUUUAGGUGUGAAAUGCUAAUUUAGAUGUGAAACACUUCCAAAGAUGACGAGAAAUCAAAGAUUGUCGUAGUAAAAAACCUCACCAGUUUUUCCUUUCAGGUUUUUCUUUUCUUUUUCUUUAAUAGUUUGGAAUUUUGCUGGUGUGAUUUCUGCUUUUCUCUUAUCAUUUAUUUUGAUUUUGGAGAGCAACUUUGGUAAUGUUAAGGUGAUUUAAGAAAAGUUGGUUGUCCAAGAAUCAAUAUUUUUAUAUUACCUUAAAUCUUCCUAAGACAUGUUGGGUCUUUCUUUGGCCUUUGUUAGUGUCUUCUAUUAAGUCUGUUAGUUUCACUUUAGUUGGGUCUUUUUUUAAUUUUAUUUUAUCUUUUAAAUUCCAAAUCCUACUCAUUUGGUCAUGACGAUUGAAUAAUCAUUGUUAAAUUUAUUUCUUGUUGGGAGUGUAGAUUUUAUUUUCUUUUUGGCCUUUGUUAUUUGCAUCUAUACAGGGGUUCGAAAAAUUCAAACCCUUCCCUCUUUUAUUCGACAUUCUUUUAUUUUUAUUAUGUACUAUUGGAUUGUUAAAAAAAUUGUGUUACUAUUUCUUACAUUCCAUAAAGAACCCUUUCUGAUGGAUUAUUUCUUAUUGAACUGUUUUAAAAUUUUGAGUUUCUUCUUUUUCUUUUUUGGGUCCAUUGUUGGGGGAUGUACAUCUUUAAUUUUUUUUUUUUUUUAUAAGAGAUGAUACAUCUUUAAUUUAGAUUUAUUAUCGUUAGCUUGUUUUGCAUUUUGUAUUAUGUUUUUUGAAAUUUUGAGUUUCUUCUUUUUCUUUCUUUGGUCAUGUGUUGUGCGAUGUUAUUUGCAUUAGGGGUGUUUGGUUGGUUGUUUUUUAGGGGUGUUUUGGUUAGUUAGGCUUAAGAAGCAAGGGCUAGUGAAAGAGAAGCAUUUGAUUGUCCUACAAGUAAUAAGCUUCUCCUCAAUCAUUCAACCAUUUUUUUAGUAAAGAAAGAGGCUUCUCCUUUGGCAACCAAAGUCCGUCCUUGGUCAAUAUAUAUCAAAAUAAAUAAGAUCCAUCUUUGGUAAUUUUUUAAAAAAUUAAAUCUAUAAAUACUCAUUUCAUCUCUAAAAUUAUGUGAUUUGUACUUUCUAAAAUUCCCUCGAUGGUACUAAUACACUCUUAUAUUUGUAUUGUAAUUAUCAUGUCCUUUUUCUAUGGUUUUUUAAAGUUAAUUUAGAUCCUUAUUCGCUCUAGGUAUAAGUUGAAUGGAAGAGUUUUUUAGCCUUGAUAGAUCUUGAGUACCUGAAUCGCCGAUGAAACAGAGGUUAUUUUCUCGGAAAUUCCACGAAUUGUUCAGGUUUGGAUUCUGUAAUUCUGUUGUUCUUUUUUUAUUUUGGAGAGUGUCCUGGGUAAUUUUGAGGAUAUUAUUUUUUGUUUUUUUUCGGCUUGCAUUUAAUCACGCGCGUUGGGGAAUAGACAGGCUUCGGAGAAUGAAUCACCUUUUUAAGGUUUCGCUGGGGAGCGAAUUGGCCAUAAGGCAUCCCUUUCUGUUCAGUCUCUCUCUUGCCUUUUUCAUACUAUAUGGUUGUUGAUAUGGGGUUAUUGAAUGAUUGUUGCUUUUAUUUUCAUAAGAAGUGAUCUUAUAUUUUUGUCUCUCUGUGCAACUUUAAUAUGAGGUUAUUAAGGAAGGAGAUAAAGGAGGAAGAAGGGACGGAGAAAAGGAAGAAAUGACUGGAUUGUUGGGAUGGGUAUGAAGAUGCAGUAGAGCCACCACCUAGGGGCUGUAAGGUCUAAUGGGCAAAUUGAAAGUAAAAAAGAGUGCAUCCAUUCAAGCUAAGAGAGCUUGGGUUCCUAAAUUACUAUUGCUCUGGGUUCUGUUGGUGGCAUUGAUUGGUAUUGUUAAUCUACAAGGGAAUUGAUGGUGUUAACUAAGUUAGAAGAAAGGAAGUUUUGGGCGUAUGUGUGACCGGAGCACAAAGAUGCUUCUGCAUCAAUUUACUGUGAGUGUUAAACUAUGUCCAUGCUUUGGUUAUUCUAUUUUCUACUUUCCACUCCUCUCGAAAUGUAUUAGCAAUUGUUCAUGUAAAUGUGUUUCGAUUUCUGUUUGAUACUUCUCAGUUAGUUAGGCUUAAAAGUAUAGAAAUUAUCUUGAUGUCUUGAUUUUUAGGGUUUUUUUCAGCGGUUUUUGGUUUUUGGUUUUUUUUUUGUUGGAUUUUGGCUAGUUAGGCUUAGAGGUGCAAGGACUUGUGAAAGAGAAGCAUUUGAUUGACCAACGAGUAAUUAGUUUCUCCUCAAGCAUCCCACCACUUUUCUAUUAAAGAAAUACAGGUACGUCUACGCUAUUACUUUUCAUGUCCUUUUACUUAAGAUAUUUAUAUAAAUAUAUAUAAAAAUAAAUAAGAUCCAUCUUUGGUAAUUUUUUUAAAAAUCAAAUCUGUGAAUAUUCAUUUCAUCUCUAAAGUUUUGCGUUUUGUUACUUUUUAAAAUUCCCUCCAUGUUACUAUUACACUCCUAUAUUUGUGUUGUAAUUAUGAUGUCCUUUUUCUAUGGUCUGUUAAAGUUAAUUUAAAUCCUUUCUUGCUCUUGGUUUAUGUUGAAGAAAUGGAAGAGUUUUUUAGCCUUAAUAGAUCUGGAGUACCUUAAUCGCUCUUGCAUUUUGUGAUUCUGUUCUUUUUCUAUUUUGAAGAGUGUCCUGAGUAAUUUUUAGGAUUUUUAUUUUAUAGUUUUUGUCGCUUGCAUUUAAACACGGACUUGGUUGUUGAACUGGGGUUCUUGAAUAAUUGUUGGUUUUGUUUUCUGAAGAAGUGAUCUUAUAUUUGUGUAUCUCUAUGUGCAACUUUAAUAUGGGGUUAUUAAGGAUGGAGAUAAAGGAGGAAGAAUGGAGAGAGAAAAGGCAGAAAUGACUUAAUUGUUGGGAUGAGUAUGACCCCAUGUCUAGUAGUUCCCAAGUAUGAUAUAGGAAGGCAGAGAGUCAAGGCCUUGUCUGACUCUAAUAGAAUUAAGUAGCUAACGCAACACAAUAUUCUUUGCACCUUCAGUCUGUGAAUCUGAGGAGCAAGAGUUUGGCCAGAGGAGCUAGUCUCGUAACUACGGGCGCAGUUCUAGUUCUUUACAAGACAGAUGGGAACUGUAGCUAACAAGUGUGCCCUGAGUGGAUUCCUACCACUACUCUUUCUACUAUAUUGGCAGGACGGGUGCCAAGUUAUUAGUAGCUAGGCAGCUAAGCCAGUAGUAGUUCAGUUCAGGUGCUGUUCCCAAACCUAGUUGACUACGUUGUAGCGUAGCGGUACGGGACAGAAAAAGAAUUGAUAGCGGUACACUGAACACAAAGAAAUUUGAUAGACAUAUGUUGAGAGUUCGACAAGUAGCACUGAAUCUACUAUCAGUAGUGAUUUAUAGAAGUUGACUCGCUUAAACGAAGAGAGUGAACAAAGCAUAGCGGAGUGAAGAGAGAAAUGGUUUCAUUAGAUAGCUCUCUCGAUGUCCUUGUUAUCUUUCCUAGGUAGAUUGUGACUUAUUCAUUCUUUCUCGCUGACUCUAGUUUCCCCGCCGUGGAUCCUUUCUCUGUUAGGCGCUGUAAUUUAGAAUUCAGAAACGUAUCUGUCUUAUUAUCUUUGAGUCAAAGCAAUGUUACAUAUUUAUAUAGAUAAUAAGCUAAACCCUAGAGACUAUGUAAAAUUACAAUAAAGGACAUAUGUAUAUAUAUAUAUAUAUCAUAACACUCCCCCUCAAGUUGGAGCAAAUAUGUCGAUCAUGCCCAACUUGUUGCACAGAUAGCUUAUCCUUGUUCCAUUUAAAGCUUUAGUUAGAAUAUCUCUCAAUUGUUCUCCGGUCUUCACAUAUCCUGUGGACACCAACCCAUCUUGGAUUUUCUCACGAAUGAAGUGACAAUCCACCUCAAUAUGUUUAGUUCGUUCAUGAAAUACUGGAUUAGAUGCAAUAUGAAGUGCAGCUUGAUUAUCACACCAUAAUUUAGCUGGCACGGUAAUACUGAAGCCUAUCUCAGAUAAUAGUUGGUGAAUCCAUACUAUUUCACACACAGAUUGUGCCAUAGCUCUAUAUUCUGACUCAGCACUCGAACGAGAAACAACAUUUUGUUUCUUACUCUUCCAUGAAACUAAGUUUCCACCUACAAAAACACAAUAUCCAGAAGUCGAUCUCCUAUCCUCACGAGACCCCGCCCAAUCAGCAUCAGAAAAACAUUCAACUCUCGUAUGUCCAUGAUCUUUGUAUAGGAUCCCACGUCCAGGAGCAGCUUUUAGAUAACACAAAAUCUGCUCUACUGCAGCCCAAUGAUCCACUGUAGGGGAAGACAUGAAUUGACUUACAACACUUACAGAAUAUGCAAUGUCUGGUCGAGUCACUGUUAAGUAGUUCAACUUCCCAACUAAUCUCCUAUAUCUCUCAGGAUCUUUACAUAAUUCUCCUUCUUUAACAAGUUGCUGAUUUGGCAUCAUUGGAGUGCCACUUGGUUUGGUGCCUAAUUUUCCUGUUUCAGACAACAAAUCAAGUACAUAUUUUCGUUGAGACAAAUAAAUACCUUUCUUGCUUCUCAUCACUUCAAUGCCCAAAAAAUAUUUCAAUUGGCCCAAAUCUUUUGUAUAAAACUGACCCUGAAGGAAAGUUUUGAGAGACGAAAUACCCAAUGCAUCAUUUCCAGUAAUAACAAUAUCAUCAACAUAUACAACUAGUAGAACUAUACCCUUCUCAGAUCGGCGAUAGAAAACUGAAUGAUCAGAUGUACUCUUCUUCAUACCAAAGCAUACAAGGGCUUGACUAAACUUACCAAACCACGCACGAGGACUCUGUUUCAAACCAUACAGAGAUUUUCGAAGGCGACAUACUUUAUCACUCUCCCCCUGAGCAACAAACCCUGGUGGUUGUUCCAUAUAAACUUCCUCUUGAAGAUCACCGUGAAGAAAAGCAUUCUUAAUGUCAAGUUGAUGCAACGACCAUUUAUUGGUAGCAGCCAUGGAAAGAAAUAGGCGAAUGGAAGUUAACUUGGCAACCGGAGAGAAUGUAUCUGAAUAAUCAGUGCCAUAGAUUUGAGCAUAACCUUUGGCAACAAGGCGAGCCUUUAAACGAGCCACUGUUCCAUCAGGAUUCAUCUUGACAGCAAACACCCAUUUACAACCAAUGGCCUUCUUUCCUGCAGGACGAGAUACCAAAUCCCAAGUAUCAUUAUCAUCUAAAGCAGUCAUCUCCUCAAUCAUUGCAUUUUGCCAGCGAGGAUGAGACAAAGCUUCAUGAACAGAGUUAGGAAUAGAUGUGGACUCAAGAGACGUAAUAAACGCAUAUGUGGAGGGAGAUAACUGGUGAUAGGAAAUAAAGGAAGAAACGGGGUAAGUACACUUGCGUUUACCUUUGCGAAGAGCAAUGGGAAGAUCAUCACUUGGCGCUGGAUCACAUGAUGAAGGAAGCAUUGAUGGAGGACAUGAGUCUGAAGGUUGUGGUGGAGGUCGUCGGGAGUAGACUUGAGAAAUCAACGGGCGGGAAGGAGGCACAUCAGUAGACAAGGAUGGUGUGGGAGAGGUAACCUCAUAUAUAAAAAGAUUGUCAUCCUCCCCCUGACACAAACUCGAUGGUGAUGAAGUAAAGGGUGUAUCUUCAAAAAAGACAACAUCAGGCGAAACCAGAUACCUUUUAAGGGUAGGACAAUAACAACGAUAACCCUUUUGAACACGUGAAUAACCCAAGAAGAUACACUUCAAGGAUUUGGGAUCUAACUUAGUAUGAUGAGGACGAACGUCACGAACAAAAGACACAACCAAAUAUCUUAGGAGCAAUAGGAAACAAAUGCUUGGUAGGAAAAAGAACACGAUAGGGAAUCUCACCAUUAAGAACAGAGGAAGACAUUCUAUUAAUCAAAAAACAAGCUGUAGAGACAGCAUCAACCCAAAAGAUUUUUGAAACAUGCAUUUGAAACGAUAAAGCACGGGCAGUUUCAAGUAAAUGCCUAUUUUUUCGCGCAACACCAUUUUGAGAUGGAGUGUCAGCACAGGAAGAUUGAUGAAUAAUGCCAUUUUCACACAAGUAAGAGCCAAGAGAAUGAGAAAAAUAUUCACCCGCAUUAUCAGUACGCAAAGUUUUGAUAGAGACAUUAAAUUGGUUUUUUAUUUCAGUAUGAAAGGCACAAAAAUGAGAUAAUAACUCAGAACGAUUUUUCAUUAAAUAUAACCAAGUUAGACGAGAAUGAUCGUCAACAAAAGUAACAAAAUAACGAAAGCCUGUUUGAGAUACAACUGGACACGGACCCCAAAUAUCAGAAUGAACUAACUCAAAUGGAGCAAUUGCUCGUUUAUCGACUCGAGGACUCGAACUAAGACGAUGAAAUUUCGCAAAUUGACACGAAUCACAAUUUAAAGAGGACAAAGACCUAAAUUCUGGAUAAAGUUUCUUCAACACGAACAAAGAUGGAUGACCUAAACGACAAUGGACUUCAAAAGGAGAGGGAACGACAGGACACGCCACAGCUUGCGAUACUUGAUGAUCAAAGAGAUAAAGGCCUCCUGACUCAUAUCCUCUACCAAUAAUCUUCUUCGUCACACGAUCCUGAAACAAGCAAUAACCAGAAAAGAACAUGACAACACAAUUUAGGUCAUGAGUAAGUUGACUAGUAGAAAUUAAAUUAAAGGAUAAGUUAGGCAAAUGUAACACAGAAGAGAGAAAAUGAUGGGGUAAGGUGAAUAGUGCCAGAGCCAAGAACAGAAGAUGUGGAGCCAUCGGCCAAUGUAACCGAUGGAAAAGGGGCAGGGGACAACGGUCUAGAAAAUAGGUGAGAAUUACCUGUCAUAUGAGCUGUGGCACCAGAGUCUAUGACCCAUUUGGUAGAUGAUGUAAGAAGACACUUUAUAUUACCUGGGGCAACAGUGGAUGCAAUCGGAGUAGAGGAAGAUGACGCUUGUAAUGACUCUUGGUAAUUCUGAAACUUAGCAAACUCAUCUGCCGAAAUAGUAACUGACGCCUCUGGUAUAUCACAUGUGGAGGCUAUCUGAGCAUGUUGAGAUCGUUGACUAUUCUUAUAUAGCAAUUUCCGACAAUCACGUUUCAUAUGGCCUGGCUUACGACAGUAGUUACAAACAAUCUCUACAGACUCUGGUUUUCGAUGAUCAGUACUAUUCCUCUGAGGUGCCCGAGGGUUAUUGUUCUUGCUAAAGAGAGCACUACUGGGUUGAGGAAUAGACACACUAGUCGGAGAGCUUUCAAUGCGAAGGACUCGAGUGAAGGCAUCAUCUAAUGAUGGAAUCUUGGAGUCAGAGAGAAUCUGUGUCUUUGCCAUUCCAAAUUCAGGUAAGAGUCCAUUCAGGAAAAUCAUAACAGCCAUCUUCUCUCGUUGAACUUGUUGAACUUUAACAUCAGGACUAAAAGGUAACAACAAGCCAACUCGGCAAUGAUCUUCUUAAGACGCAUAAAGUAGCUGGUGACAGACUCAGCUUUCUGUUCCGCACGAGAAAAUUGCAUACAAACUUCAAACAUUCUAUGCACUUGCUCUUUACCUGAGUAUAGAAAAUCCAAAAAUUCCAAAAGUUCUUUAACAGACUCACAGUGAUCAACCAAUCCAAUUAUCUCACUCUCAAUUGAAUUCUUGAUCUGAAGAUAUAAACGGGCAUCAUCACGAAGCCAAUCCUUCUUCUGCUUUGCAUCUUUUGGGGGAUCUUCAGUCAUAUGAUCAUCCAUAUCAGUACUUCUCAAAUAAAAUAAAAUUGUCCGACGCCAAUCGUAAUAAUUGGAUCCAUUUAACUUAUGUUCUGUGAUCUUAGAGGCCAAGGGAAUAACGUUGGAGACUACCAAAUUUUUUAUGUCGGCCAUAUUGAAGUCACACGUUGAUUGUAGUCCACUCGAACAAAGAGAAAAUCAAUCCAAACAGCUGCAAAAUUGGAAAAAGACACAAAACCAAUCGUGUAACCUUCGGUUUUCGUCAAACCCGAAUGUUAUUUGAUAGACCCAAUGGUACAGACUGGCAGGAAACAAUGGUUCGAGACAAGCCCAGAAGACAGAAGACAAAUCGGACUUCUCACGCGCUCUCACGCGCCUGUGUGGAUGAAGGUGACGAUGAUUCCGGCGGCGCGUGACGGUCACGCGCGGUGUUUUCCGGCGAUCGGCGAAGACAGACUUGGGCGGACGGAGGUGGUGCUUCUUAUGGUAUGGGCGGUGUCGACAAAUGGUCACCGGAAGGUAACCCAAACUUCAAACCUAAUGGAGGGCUCUGAUACCAUGUAAUUUAGAAUUCAGAAACGUAUCUGUCUUAUUAUUUGUUAAGUCAAAGCAAUGUUACAUAUUUAUAUAGAGAAUAAACUAAACCCUAGAGACUAUGUAAAAUUACAAUAAAGGACAUAUAUUACAUAAUAAUAUAUAUAUAUCAUAACAAGGGCCUCCCCUAUCCUUAUUCAUUGAUCGCUCUCUUUGCCGCGAAUCUCGGCAUGGUGGUUCUUCGCCUCGCAAUAUUCUUUGCUCCUCCUUCCUGGGCUUGAUUGGUACAUCAAGCAUAUCGGCAUUUUGCUUCUUCGGUGUGGUACAUAUAUCUAUCAAUGAAAAGAAAGUAAUAGAAUUCAUUCCCGCGUACUCGCAUAUUGAAUUGCGCCUUCGGACCAUCAAAGAAAGGUCCAGGGUCCGAAGUCCGCUGGAUUUAUCCGGAGUCCAGAGAAUUUAUCCGUAGGACCAUCCAUAUGGAGGGAAGUAGUCCGGAGGAUGUUGGAAUUUUUUGUCCUAAAACUCGUAGUUUAUAAAUCAUAUUCUGUUCAAUAAAGUUGUUAUUGAGAAAUUAAAUAUUAUAAUCUUAAAUCCAAUAAAUCAAGUUCCAAGGCUAUUUUUGAAUAAACUUGAACUUUAUGUGUAAACAUAAACGUGGAUCAAGUUCGAGUAUAUAGCCUAAAUAGUCUAUAGUAUAUGAAAUAAAGGUUGGGUGCCUUAUUUAGGGAAACUAUGGAUGCGGUCCACUUUGUGGUACAAACGAGGUGAUCCUAAUCGUUCAUGUAGAGACAUGAAAGUGAGGGCAUUCUAUGUAAAAUGUUUACAUAAGACUGAACCAUGAAUUAGUUUUUUUUACGUUAUAACACCGUUUACUGUUUAAAACUGACUAUCUCAACAUUUUGACUUUUUACUAAGAAAAGUCAAAGUUUGACUUUUGACUAGAAAUAUCUAAUGACCAUUUUACCCUUGGACUAAGUUAGUGGGAAAAUCCAACAUUUUGUUGGAUAAUCCCACUAACUCUUAGUGGGAUAUGUGGCUAUAUGAGAUAUAGACACCUAGCCCACUAAGUUCCACUAAUUGUUAGUGGAACAUUUGGUGUUGAGAUUUGGCAAAAUGAAUUGCAUGCAUUUUUGCAUGUAAUUAGGUUAUAAAUAGAGGUGUUUUCAAAUGUUGAAGAACUUUUGCCUCUUUUAUCAUUUUCAUCAUCUCAACCAAAUAAAAAAAAAGGAAACCUUCCAAUCCCAUUUUAUCUCCAUUACUUUCUACACCAAAAUUGGGUCCCACAACCCGGUUCUUUGUCUAGAGGAUAGCAGUUGAGUACUAGUGGUGGUCUCGGUUAGAAUUGGUAAGAAGAUAUCAAACCUUUUGAAAGCUUCAAAGGUAAUAUUUCCUAAAACCCUAAUUUGAUUAAUUUAUGGUUACAUGUUAAUUGUGGCAAUUAGGGUAGAAAUUCGAUUUUUUUUCCGCUGUGCAUGACUUAGUUCUAUCAGAGGAUUUAUUCGUAGGACCAUCCGUAAUUAACAGAAAUAGGACUAUCCAUUAUCCUCCGUCCGGAGUCCGCAGGAUACUUAUCCGUAGGACUAUCCGUAAUUAACCGAAGUAGUCCUCCAGAAUUUCUGUAAUUAACCGAACUUUGCACCUCUUGACUAUGAAUCAUAUAUAUUGAUUUUGACCGGAGCAAAGAUCAUUGCCCACGGAGCGGCGCAAAGAAUAUUGCGACCUGUGGAUUCAUUGAGGCGGUGAAGAAUUGCCAUUUUAUGAGCUUGUAAAACCCCUCCGGAGGAGAAGGAUAGGGGAGCAAGGUUCAAAGUGGUUUUCAAAGUCAGAGCUAUCCCUUAUUAUUGAGGGCUUUGACCACCUGGACACUUACCUACUCAGUCGCAAGGAUCAAAGAAUUUGAUUGACAAAGAAUAUUGCGAUUUUACCGAGUCCUUCGUCUCGCAAUAUUCUUUGCGCCUUCGAUGAGUCAGGUUAAUAUGGAUAAGUCCUUCGGACUGAUAGCGUCCAAAAAAUAGGCGAGGGCGGGCGGGCUAUAAGUAGGCCGUUUGCUAUUGCUAUAAGGGCUGCUCGCCUUUAUACGGCUUGGCUUCGCUAUCGCUCAUGACUUGUAUUUGUGGUCGGCCUAAAAAGUAGUCUUCCUACCAUAAAAAAAUGCCUAUUAUCUAGUUCGUUAAGCUUCGCCAAAAGCAAGAUGAGGGCGCUUUGCUUCGUAGACAAGGCUCGUCUAGUACUUGACUUACGAGUUCGUGUAGGACUUCCCCCUCUCUCUAAAGGGGCUUAUGCACAGAACUCCUUGUCUACUAAAGAAGCGUUCGAGCGAGCGAGUUCAGCCUGAAAUUGAGUGGUCUCCCUCCUUUUCCCUCACUGAGAUAUUAUGUCUUUCAUUUCCACUUAAGCUUCCCCGCUUUGAGGGAUUAAUUGAUUGGAUACCCGAGAACCAUAAUCUUUCCUAGGAACUGCUUCUACGACGAUAGGUGUAAAGGCAUGAUUAGUUCCACAAAUCUCACUGCACUGACCAUAGUAAACUCCUUCUCAUUGUACCAAAAUGGAGAUCUGAUUUAAACGACCAGGUACAACAUCACAUUUGACACUUGAGGAAGGUACAACCCAACUAUGAGGUAGAUCAGCAGGUGUUACAAUAAUACGUAGAUGAGUUUUGGCUGGUAGAACCACUCUAUUGUCCACUUCUAAUAAACGUGAUUGACCCAAUUCUAGAUCAUCUUCUGGAAUCGUAUAACUGUCAAAAGUGAGUGACUGUUCAUCGGAACUGUUAUAGUCAGAAUACUCAUAAGUCCGAUACCAUUGAUGUCCAAUAGCUUUGAUAGUCAUGGCUGGAUCUACUACUACCUCGUCCAUUGAGUAUAAGAGAGCAAAGGAUGAUAUAGCAAUGAACACCGGAAUGAUACUAGGAAAAAUGGUCCAAAGAAUCUCGAUAGUAGUUCCAUGAACUAUCCUUUGCGGUAUUUUCUUUUUAGAAUAGUGGAAAUGCCAUAAAGCGCGAACCAAAAUCCGUGAUACGAAAACAAAAAUCAAAAUGAGGAAGAAAAAGAUAUCGUGAUGUAUGUCUAUUAUUCCUUGCAUCAUAGGUGUUGCUGUGUCUUGAGAUCCUAAUUGCCAUGGUUCCGCUGCAUCACAAGGAGCAAUUGUGAGGAAUAGCCAUUUGAGAACAAUCAUUUUCUUUGGUUUAUUCUUUGACUGCUCUGCUCCCCCCCCCAAAAAAAGAGAGACUUGUUCUUGCUCUCCCAAUGAAGGAAGACGGAAAUCGCCGGUUGGGUUGGUCCAACCAAGAAAGGCAUGGGAUGGGCAUUGCUUGGGCCGAGUUAAGUAUGGCUACCUAUUACUCCUCACUGCACACUUGAAAUAUCUCUUGAUACUCCCCCCUCUUUCUUACAACUAGUUGCUGCAUGCUAUCGGAUCUCGAGCAAUGGGAGGUUACAAUUGAGAAUCCACACUCUCAUUACAUUACAUUUUGAUGUCGAAAAGGUCUUUUGGGCAAUGAGCAUUCCUUAUGGGCGUAUCCGUUCUCUAUUUAGAGAAAUUCUUAGAGCGGUGCAGUUUAUGCAUGGCGAAAGGGAGCAUUGGAAGGGUCUUAGCUCCAGAAUAUGAAGACGAAUGAAUAAGGAAGAUCAGAUUCAAGGAAUAAGAGGACAAAGGCUCGAUAGGAGGAAAUGAAUAAGGGGUCCGACGGAGCCUUCGGAGUACUAUAAAGAGGAAAGCCUAGACUGAUCGAUGUUCUUGGUAGGAACAUCCAUAAAUCAGGGGAGGGAGAUCGAGUUUCAAACCUUUAUACACAAAACUGAAACUCAAAAUUCACUUCCUUCCUUCCGCAAGGCCGAUAUCUUUCAUAGCAGGCAAGGAUGAGUCCAUUAGGUUCUUCGAUUGAUUCGGAAAAGAAAUGAGAGACAAGAAAAGAUCUUUGAUGGAGAUGAAAAGGAAGAAUCUCAAAUAGACCAAGAUCCAAUUUCGGGUCAUUUCUUGGUGAACAUGAUCUGCCAUAAUCUCUUCGAUCCCUGAAUUUAUGUGCCAGAAUAAAGAGAGAUUUGGUAGGAAAGUGGAAGAGACCUUGUGGUAUAUAAUAAUGAGAGGGAGUGGGAAAGCUGCUGUAAUUCUUUGGAAAAGCCCGGUUCUCUUUGUCUUCGAGCUUGAAUUCCUCAAUCCACUCUUUCGUUCUUUCAUAUACCUCCCCACCAAUAGAUAGAGACAAAUAGGAAUAACCGAACCACGUCUACAAAAUGCCAGUACCAUGCAGCUGCUUCAAAGCCAACGUGAUGCUCCUUGGUCAGAUGACCAAGAUAUUGGCGAAUACCACAUACGAUCAAGAAAAGAGUACCUAUAAUCACAUGAAAACCAUGAAAGCUAGUUGCUAAGAAAAAG